rnacentral:lncRNA from 1 species
UCUAAUUAAAUGGAUUGAUGAUGAAUCUUUAGGCAAGGAUGUGUUGCUGGAGAAUUCCACCUUUGUUAAAUGGUGGAAACCCCUUCCUCCUGAGUAUAAAUCAGAACCCAAAUCAUCUCGCAUUAUGAAACUCAUCCAUGAGAAAGAUUGAGAGGGUUUCAUGCUGUUAUCUCGAGGCAUUUGUUCAAAGCCAAUAAACCCUGUAAAUAAGCUCUAGCUUUGACUGCUCUCUUGAUAACCGAAAUGUUCUUGAUAAGUCCAUUAUUUACUAGUAAGAUGGUUUUCUUCCUGAGUGUAUGCAAAAUCCUGUUUCCUAUAUUAAUACAUAACGAUCCAUUCUCAAUCGUGUAGAUAAUAUCACUGUGAUACCCCGGGUCUUAGGUCCCACUAUGUGAAAAUCAAGAAUGAAAAUGACUAGAUACCAAGAGGUAAUGCGCAUGAUUUUUUCAUACAAACAAACAAGUAGGUUGUACUUCAACACAGAUGAAGUUUGCGAUUUGAAGUUACAACUAUCUAAUAAUAAAGAUGAUGAGAAGGCAUAUUUCUUAAGAAAAUGGCCAUGAUAGCAUUUAGCAGAGGAUACUAAUACAGAAGAUUGAAAAUGGGCUGGUAAAUUAACGGACAGAUGAACGCUUGAUGUGCAUCCUUGGCCGAUCGAUAUGUAUAUGAAAUUAAAUGCUGUGACAAAGACCUAGUUAGCUCCACAAUGAAAAAAGAAGCCCUUGCCAUAUGACUACAGAGGCCCUGUCACAGACUCACAGUUCAACUACAACCAGUUCCUUCCUAGCUUUCAGAACUUUCCAUAUUUAAAAAAUAUUAAUUUUAUAUUUUAUAGUUGGUAGUUAAAUUCAUAAAAAUAAUAAUUAUAUUUUUCUAUAUUUAAAAUAAUAAUCAAUAAUUAUUUAAUAUUAAUAAUAUUUAAAUUUAUAAAGUGUGGAAUCAAGAAGUUUCUAGGAUAAUACUAAUAAAUGUUGGAUCCGCAUUUUUCACAUGCAUUCCCACUCAACGACGAAACUCAUAUUUAUUUAAGGUGAAAAACUGUAUUUUAUAAGAAACUGGAAUCGCUACUUAUUAUUAUUUUUUAAAAGGGAAAAUAAGGAAAGAUAGGUUUGUAAAAACUGAGUUAGAUUCGGAGGUCAAGUUACCUAUUGGGAAGAUACAGUGGCUAAUCGUAGCACCUUUCUAAGCAUUACAAGUCAGGUCUCUAUUAAUAAAACUAAGACAACUAUGACAAUUGGUUGAUCAAUUUAUGGAUACCUAGCAAGAGUCAAAAUAUACUACGACCAAAGCAUGUAUCAAAAGAUAAUCGAAUGAGUAAAGAAGGAAAGGAGUGUACCUGAGUAAUAAGUCAAAGUGUGCUUCUAUGGAAAACAAGGUUAAUAAAUAAUAUAAGUAUAAAAUAUCUCAUGUCAAUCACAAACAAAAUCAAUCAAUAUUAAUCAAGCAAAGCAAUUAGAGGAAGGAGUGUCAUGGAUGUUGGGCCCAUCAAGGCCCAAUUUAUUUUUACAUGAAUUAAUUCUAUAAAUUCCAUUAUUUUUGGAAUCAUAAAAUUUAUUUAUGCAUUAAAAAUAGAGAAAAUCAAGAAAAACUACAUAAAAAAAAAUGUGAAAUGUGCUUGCCGGGGGGAAAUAUGACAGCAAUGUUUAUAAAAAUCGGGAUUUUAGUGCCUAAAAUAGUCUAAAGAUGAACAUUUAAAAUUGGGUUUAUUUCAGUCGAAAAUAGUUUUGAAAAUUCAAUUUAAAAACCUGUAAAUUCUCACCAAGAUAGGAAAAACACACCAAGAGGAAGGAAGGAUGACUUAAGAAUGGUGCACCAAAGGUGGCAAUGGUGGAGUGGGGCUCGUGGGUAGGCAGGCAUGUGCAUUUCCAUAUCAGAAUCCCUGUGCUGCUGCUCAUUCUCCAGGAGUCUGUAAGUCGCUUCACCCCUAUUCCCAUGCAGCAGAAGAGUGCUUCAAUUGUCUGGUUUUGCAGCUCUCACCCUUGUGUUUACUCCAAUUCAAGAUUAUCCCCCUGCAUCCCAAUCUCUCUCUAUGCUGACUCAAGCCGAGCUUGCAGAAUCCCAGUCGCAGAAUCAUUCCUUUUGAGCUCACAAAAUUAACCUGGUAAUCUCUUCUUCCCAGAACUCUAGUUUUUUAUUGUACUCAGUGGUCUUCCUAAGCAAUUCCUCAUAGCUAGCAUCAGUUCCCACCUUUGGGAUGCAAUCUGCGCUCCAUUAGAGCCCCAUCUUCUCCCAUAGAACUCGCCCAGGUUACCAAAUUCAUUCCUGCCAUAGCUGAGUCCUCCAUUAGGCAGCAACAAAUACAACACUUUAAAUGGAUUAGUUUCCAGAUCAAAUUGGAGGACAUACAGAAUGCUGUCAUCUAUGGGCAGCUUUUCGAGUUCAAGAGAAUUUUAAUGGCCACGUGAUAAGGGAUCUUAGUGACAGUCAACAUUCAGCUAAGCAGAAAUCUGGAGAGGCUAUAGUAGUGAUCAGCAUUGUCGCCCAUCCGUACAUUCACCUUGACAAAAUUGUAUUUGGAGGAAACAUUCUGAAUGGAGAAUCAAAUGGUUGGGAGAGAGGAAUCAGAGAUGUCUUCUUCUGGGGUGUCAGGGUUUGGACAAGUUGUGUGAAGACUGCCAGGUACUGAGGAUACCAAGGCUGGGAACAAGAACUGGUCACAUGUACACGGAGAUGGCCAUGCAUGUGGAUUGCAUGCACAUGGGAAAGAUGGUGCAAUAGACUUCGCUAAAUUCAAGCUUCUUGGAUAGCUUGCAACUUCAUCCAGAUAAAAGAUGCUUUCUGCUUCACAUAGAUGUAACAAAAUUGAUGGGGAGAAGAGAGUUGACCACUUCAUCUCCAUUAACGUCACUCUCAAUAUCAGGAGGAAUUUCUUCUCUUGUUAACGAGGAAUCUGAUCUCUUCAAAGACUGUGGUGGCUCUGUUGAAGCCAUUCUUAAAUUGUACAAUGCUCAGACUCCUUCAAGUUGGUCACGGCCUCCAAUACUAGAUUCCCCAGCCUUACGAUGUACCCUCUUUGAACCAGUAAUCUGCUCAGGGUUGCCAGGGAAGGCAAGGGCCUUAGCAUCGACAGUUUGAUCAUCACUUUGAACUAUUGCGCUGAGAGGCGGAGAAUUCUCCUGGUUUAGGGCUUGUUGGCACCCUUCUGUGGGCCAAUCUAGACUCCUCUCUUGAGCCCCAUCCAUUUUCCAUCACAUUCAUGUUCCUUCAUUGCCCAUCAACAAUAAAUCUGUACUGAUAAAUACCCGAGGGGAGCAUUUUCAUAAUGGUGGACUAUUUCCUCAUCUCUGCAAGGGUUUUCUUAUCUUCCAAUUAUCCCAUAAUUCCUCCGCAGCUACUUCCUUGCUAUCAUAGCUCCAUGUAAUCAUAGUUGGAAUUCCUUGCUCACUGCACACCACCUGACCUUGGCCACUCAUUUCCAAGUCUCAAAACUCUGCCUUUCUCACCCUCUUUUACUACCUUUGAGGCUUUGCUGCAAAAGAUCAAAACUGUAGGCUACCUCAUGCAAUGGCACACACCACCCUUUCUCAGAUUCCCUUAUUAGCUUGUGGAGAAAUUUAUUAAAUUUCACAUCAAAGGCAAGAAAAUUGGAAGGGGACAAUGAACCGCAGAUGGAUGAGAGAAUAAUGGCCUUGUCGUUGCAUGUUCAUGAGCAGCAUGAACUGUAUCCUUCAUUUCAGGAACUGAGGCCCUAUGACCUCCAGACCUGAAGGCUCAAUGAAUAGUCAAAGAUUUGACUUCCUGUAGGCUUGCCACAUCCUGAACAGACCUGAAUUUUCUCUUCUUCCGGGCCUUUUCUCAGAAGGUGGUUCCUUAGCUGUCUUGUAUGUCAGAGGCAAAUUGAUGCCUUGGAUUAAAAGAGUCUGAUGACAGAGUACUAAGAUGCUCCUGAUUGAAACGGAACACUUUCAUAGCAGCAUAUUCAAACUACCACAGAAUUGAGCAUCAGGAUGAAUUAAGCCACUUUACUUCAUCAACUUUUUGCACUUUCCAACAGUGCAGGACCAUUUUCCUUGCCAUUGCUGAAAGACUGUUGAUGAGCGCAAUGAUCAUUGAAUUACUGGUGGAUUUUCAUUGUGGGAAACCUAAGCUGAUUAAGCAACAAACCCAAACUUUGACUAGCUUGAAUUGAUAGAUCUCCAACAUUGGAUACAGGAUGACCUCUUAGGAGCUAAAGAUAUAUUAAAUUCCACAAGCUUUCCUUCAGAGGGCUGAUCAAGAGGUGUAUCUAAACCUUAUUUGGCAUGACCAACAAGCUGUCACUUUCACACGCAUAUUCUAAGCAUCUUCCCAGAGGCUUAACAGAAAAGGGAUCUUCAGGUUUACAGAGGAGGGAAAGGAAACCCUGCUUUGCAUUCGGAAAAGUUUUGUUGCUGUUGACAUCUUCACCAUUCUGAGUACUUGGGACUGUUGGUGCAGGUGUGGAGCAACCAGAAAAGUUGUUACUCAGACCCAAUAUUCUCAAUAGCACUGCUUAAAUUUGCCAGGCUCGAGAACAAAAAUGAGAGGUAGCUAGUUCUUUUGAUGCUUCCCUGCUAAAUUUGCCAGGCUCGAGAAUAAAAAUGAGAGGUAGCUAGUUCUUUUGAUGCUUCCCUGCUUGAAUUUGGAGUAUUUGAACCGGCAACAACUCUAUCAAUCCCAAGGGUAGAGAUCAGCUUCUCAAUUAUAGUGACUUGUGACUCCCAGAUCAGUGGAGAUCCAUCUUCAUGACCAGAGAUUGACCAUGACUCCACCUCAUGAAUGAUGAAUUCCUAGAGCCUCAUCUGUUUGAUGAAGGUGAAGUUUGAUUAGUAGGAGUUUUGAGUACUAUUUGAUAGUCUCUCUUCAUGCUGUGGGGGGUUCACUACAGGUUGAUGAUCAUCAUGAGAUGAGCUCGACAUGCUCACUCCUUAUUGGAUUUAUACUCCGAUACUGAUGUAGCCUUCAAACUCCACAAAUAAGCUAUACUUGAACCGAAGACUAAGGAUGACUAAACCAUCACCUCCAUCCUAACUAUGCUGGCGUUCAAAUACUACAAAAUGAUAUUUCAAUGGUCCUGCUUUCAAACCGCAAUUCCACACCUGAAGACGUUUCUCACCGAACCAAAGGCAACGGUGGUAUUGGCAUUAUUGGACAUACAAAUGCUCUGCAUGGACCCCAAACCACCAUGGUACUUCAAUGUCAAGGCCCAUGGCCAUUUCUGUUGUCCAUGAAAAUAAUCUUGAAGGGCUAUACAACUUUUAGCAACUCUUUAAAGGAUGCAAUGUGUCUGGAAGAUUGAAUUGAAGAUGAAUGACAUUUGUAGAAUCAACAGAUGAGGUUGCAUUUCUAGAGCCUCUUUCUGGAGGCCUUUCUCCAAGAAUUUUUCCAUGGCUCUCUGUUGUCAUCUUCUGCACAAUAGGAGAUGAUUUCACAUCCUACAGCCACUUGCUCCUGUUAUUAUGCUUCUGUCACCCCUCUCACAGUUUUCUUGCAAGAUACAAAUAACUCUCUCCACUGGGGUCACGAAUCUGUGGCAAUGAGCCAAAACACAGCCCUCUCUUCUCAAGCGUAGAUCAGAACACAAAACCAAUUGUCCAUAGCAAAUCGAAAUAUGUGAGCCAGAAACAGGAUAUGGAUUGAGAUACUGGAAAUAGAGAAGUGAACAAAACAAGAUACAACAUACCCAGAACAAAAUAAACAAGUAAGCAAAACAUUAAAUGGGAUCCCUUUUCAUGUUGAAAUCAAUGGGUUCAUAGAGCAGUGGUGCAGUAGGAAAGUUCAACACAAAUAUCAAAAUGAGGUCAUCAACAAACUCCUACUGUAAGAGUGAGCCAUAUUCAGAUUAAAAAAUACGAAAGAAGAGCGGUACAACAUCACAUCCAUACCAAAAAUAAUAGAUUUUCUCUAAUUAUCUAAUUAGACAGCUCACGCCAACACUCCCCCUCAAGUUGGAGCCUAGAUAUCUCUUAUGCCCAACUUGUCAAGUGAGUUGUAGUAGUUCCUUGCAGACACUGCUUUUGUGAGUAUAUCAGCCAACUGGUCUUUUGAUUUAACAAAUGGAAGCUGAAUAAUCUUUUCUUCAAGGUUCUGUUUGAUGAAGUUUCGAUCCACCUCAACGUGCUUAGUGCGAUCAUGUUGGAUUGGAUUGUGGGAGAUAGCAAUGGCUGCCUUGUUAUCACAGAACAGGUUCAUUUCAUAGCUGAGAGCAACACCGAUCUCAACUAGCAGCUUUUUAAGCCAAAGAAGCUCACAUAUUCCUUUGACCAUUCCCCGAAAUUCAACUUCAGCACUAGACAAUGUAAUUACCUUUUGUUUCUUGCUCCUCCAUGUAACCAGGUUGCCUCCCACAAAAGUAAAGUACCCUGAAGUAAAUUUCCUAUCUGUGAUGUUCCCUACCUAGUGAGCAUCUGUGUAGCCAACAACAUUCAAAUGACCAUUCUUUGAGAACAUAAGUCCUUUCCCAAGAGAGGACUUCAAAUAACGAAGGAUCCGCAUUACGGAAUCCAUAUGGUCUUCACUCGGGCAAUGCAUGAACUGACUCACUACACUCACAGCAUAACCAAUAUCUAGUCGAGUAUGAGAUAAAUAGAUGAGUUUACCCACUAACCAUUGAUACCUCUAUUUGUCCGCUGGCACCUGGUCUACAUAUUCUCCAAGUUUAUGAUUCUGGACAAUUAGAAUAUCAACAGGCUUGCACCCUAGUAAUCCUACAUCUGCCAGCAAGUCUAGUAUAUAUUUCCUUUAGGAAAGAAAUAUGUCUUGUCUUGACCUUGCUACUUCAAUGCCUAAAAAAUACUUAAGCCCUCAUAAGUUUUUCAUUUCAAACUCAGUUGACAAUUGCUCUUGAAGCUUAGAGAUUUCUUCUACGUCAUCCCCUGUGAUGAUCAUGUCGUCUACAUAGACUAUGAGGGCUGUUAUUUUUCCCACUUGAUGUUUUAGGAAGAGUGUAUGAUCAGAAUUGCUUUGUUGAAAACCAUAUUUCCUCAUUGUCGAACUAAACCUGCCAAACCAUGCUCGAGGUGAUUGCUUUAGUCCAUACAAUGCCCGUUGUAAACUACAUGCGAUCUUUGCCUCUGAGGUAGCAGUAUAACCUGGUGGAAGAUCCAUGUAAAUUUCCUUUUCAAGAUCACCAUGGAGGAAGGCAUUUUUCACGUCCAGUUGGUGCAAUGGCCAAUCUAAGUUUGCUGCAAGAGAUAAUAGAACUCUAACAGUUUUUAGUUUGGCUACAGGUGAGAAAGUUUCCUGAUAAUCUAUACCAUAUUUCUGUGUACAACCCUUUGCUACCAACCUUGCCUUGUAUUGAUCAAUAGACCCAUCUGCUUUGUAUUUAAUAGAGAAAAUCCACUUGCACCCCACCGUCUUCCUUCUUUCAGGCAAUACACUCAAAACCCAUGUGUUAUUUUUCUGCAACACCUCCAAUUCCUCUUUUAUAGCUUGAGCCCAUUUCGAAUCUGAUAAAACUUCUUCAACACUACUCGGAAUUUGACAUGAGGAGAGUGUAUGUGCAAAUGCCCUAAGAGGUUCAGAUAAUCUUUGAGUGGACACAUAAUUGGCUAUUGGAUACUUGGAUCGUCGUUCUUCUAUGUCUGGGGAGUAUCAAUUUGGUGGCUUGCCUCGAUUGUGUCUGAAAGGUAGAACGUAACCCGUAGAUGUAUCUAUAGCAUUAGUUUGUAAAGGUGUGAUAGAAAAGCUUACCUCAGGGAUAUUCUCAGAAGGAUGGUCGUUGGGUACUAAAGAGUGAAGGGAUUCAUCAGAUUCUGCAUCUUCCGAUGAUUCAGGUACAAGUUCAACUUCAAUUCUUGGAGGUUCAACCAUGUCGUUGCCAUCAUUCGGAUGUGCUAGAUUGUCACCAACGUCCAGCAUUUCAACAUCCAACCAAUUUCUUUCUUCACCAUGGAUCUCUCCCUGAAGAGGAGAAUUGGAUACCAGUGAUGGGAAUUUUUUUUCAGAUUCUAGGAAGGUGACAUCCAUGGUGAUGUAGGUUCUUUUAGCAAUGGGAUCGUAGCAUUUUUUGUACUCCAUACCCCAAAAAUAGACACCAGACAGCACAUGGAUCCAACUUAGUUCAUUGAUUCUUAUGGAUGUGAACAAAAACAACACAACCAAAAAUUCGAGGAGGAAUCAUCAAAACAUUAGGUAAUGAGACAUGAUCGGAAAGCACCUUAACCAGAGUCUGAAAUUGUAAGACUUUGGUUGGCAUACGGUUCAGUAGAUGCACGGCUGUGGCAACAGCAUCACUCCAGUAUCUAUUCGGCACAUGUGCAUUGAUCAAUAGAGCACGGGUAGUUUCUAAGAUAUGUCUAUUCUUCCUUUCAGCAGUACCAUUCUGUUUGGGGUUUGAGAACAUGAGGUUCAUGGAGAAUACCAUGACUGUUGAAGUGUGUCUAGAAUUGUUGGUUAACAUACUCCCCUCCAUUGUUAGAACGAAGGAUCUUAAUUUUUGCAGAAAAUUGUGUUUGAACCAUGGUAUGAAAUGAUUGGAAAACAACAAAUACUUCAUCUUUGUGUUUUAGGAGGUAAAUUCAUAUCAUUCUUGUACAGUCAUCAACAAAAAUUGCAAACCAACGGUGACCAGAAGACGUAGUAACUGGGGAAGGUCCCCAUACAUCAGAAUGGAUUAAAUCAAAAGGAAUCAUACUUUUAUUCAUACUCAAGGGAUAAGAAGCUCUAUGACUUUUGGCUAAGAUACAAGUAUCGCAUUUAAAAUUUAAGUGUGAUACUUUGGAAAAUAAACCAGGUAGUAAGUGCUUCAAAUACCCAAAAGAUGGAUGCCCAAGUCGAUGGUGCCAUAACCAAAUAUGUCUUUUCUUGUUACUAACUGUGUGGUGCAUGUGAUUUGCUCUUCCCGAACUGAAGUCAUCAACGUAGUAUAAUCCCCCCCUCUUAGUACCACGCCCAAUUAUCUCCUUGGUAAGAAUAUCCUGAAGAAGGUAAAAAGUAUAAUACAUUACUACCACACAAUUAAGAUCCGUAGUAACUUGACUCACAGACAUCAGUCUAUUUGAAAGAGAAGGUACAAGUAAUGUAUUAGAUAAUGAAAGGGAAGGAGAUAACGUCACUGUUCCCACCCCUGUAAUCGGAUAAGCGACCCCAUUGGCAUUUUUAACACAACUCCGUCUCGAUUGAGUUGCAUUAGAAAAAUCAUUUGAAUAAAAUGUCAUGUGGUAUGUAGCACCAGAGUUGAGAAUCCAGUCAUCAUCAUUAUUGUGAGUAGAGAUAUGAAGUGUCUUACCAGAAGUACCAGAAGUACUUGGAUCAUGUGAAGAUUCUACUUGAGGGAUGAGGGAUAAUGAAGGAUCACAAGUAACCACGACAGCUCUCCCAGUGUGGUCAUCAUUAGCAAAGGUUUCACGUUUUUUUCGUGCUUGAAAGUCGUUCCACCAAUCUGGAUACCCAUGUAGUUUGAAGCAGGUGUCACGGGUAUGUUUGGAGUUGCCACAAUGUGUACACUUCAUGCCAUCAGAUGGUGGUUUGGUUUUGGAUUUUCCCCUGCUUAGAGAAAGAGCCCCUGGUUUCGGUGUUGUCUGGUAGUGACUUCCCUUGAUCCCUUUGGAUAUCAUAACUCCUCCAGGAGUGGUAUCUGUACCUGAGAUCAUCACAAUCUGCCUGACAUCUUCCUUACGAACAAAAGCGUAGGCCUGUUCCACUGUAGGGAAUGGUUUUAAUUGGAGCACAUCACUCCGAGUUUUAUCUAGUCUGUCAUCUAGUCCAUCAAGGAAAGUAUAAACCCGAUCUUCUUGUAGAAUCGAGUUGUAUUUCUGUAUGUCAAUAGCACACUCCAUCGGGUUAGGACGACGAAAAUCGAUUUCUUGCCACAACCCUUGAAGAUCGUUGUAGUAUUUUUCAAUGGAUCCACCCCCCUGCUUCAUACGAGUAACACGACGCCGGAGAUCAUAGACUUGAGAUGAUACUGUCCCAUCAAAAUAGGUUGUAGCAGCAGAAUCCCAAACCUGUUUUGUAGUUGGGAAGCGGAUAAAGUUGGCAAUCAAGGAAGGGUCCAUUGAAUUGAUCAACCAUCCCUUGACAAUGGCAUUUUCGGUUCGCCAUAUCCUGAGUGAAGGAUCGGUUUUUGGAGGUUGAGGGGAAUCUCCAUUAAUAUAUCCUAACUUGUCCUUGCCAGAGAUAUACAUCUCGACAACCUGGGACCAUAAGGCAUAGUUGGAUCCUUCCAACUUGAUACCGAUCGGAGCAGUUGAGGAAUCGGCAAGCAGAGGUUGAGGGGAAGUUUGGGCUCGAGUCAAGACUUCCGUCAUUUUUGUCGUCAGAUCGUUAAGGAUGGAGUUGGUAUGGGGAAUGAGAGAUUGUGUUAGGUCUCCGGAUUCCACCAUGGAUUCUAUUGGGUCUGGGUUCUUUCCUGGUCAAGCGACGCCGUAAAAUGACCACGUCGGCAAUGGCGCAAGCCUGUCAGUUGGAAAAUCCGUCGGGGUCGUCUCCGACGAACUCUGGAGAGGAUCUGGGGUCGACUUCGACUUCGUCUCCCAAGUCUGUGGAGACUACGACGAAGGUGCAGUUUGCUGGAAGGUUUUUUUCUUCUUUUUUUAUUUGAGUUGAAUACCAUCAUAUAUAGAUACAGAGCAAAGGAAUUUUAGGAACCUAUUCUAGCCUAUACACAGGUUGUGGUAGAAAUUGUAGAUCACGUUUGAAGUAUGGAAUUUACAUUAAUAGAUUUUCUCUAAUUAUCUAAUUAGACAGCUCACUCCAACAAAAACAAUUUAACAAUGCCUAGAAAAUUAGAAAUAACCAGAGAGAAUGAAAAAAAAAACAGAGUGAUAAGUGAAAAUGAGCAAAGAAGCUACAAAAAACGUACCUGAAAAUGCUCCCUCCAACGAGAAUAGUUGGGCUUCAAGCUGCUUUGUUUCUUCUUUCAAACCUCCAGAAAACCACAACAAAAUCAACUUCCCUUUCUCUCCCUUGCUCCUAAUCACCCUGCCUAGAAUCCUCUCUGCUCCCUGUUUUCUCUCUAACCCCCAAUUCCGAAGAAUCCCACCAUCACUCCAACCAACCUCUUAGCAAUUCCCCCUGUUUCCACUCUUUCCAUUUCUGUUUUUCCCCUGUCUCCACUCUCCCCCGACCCACACUCUCAGAUACUUUCCUGCUCAAGACUCCUACUUCUCUCUAAAAAAACGACCCGCCCAAAACUUUGCCACAUGUCGCUCUCACUGGCUCCCUUUUCUCUCUUAGUAAGUAACUCACCAAAAAGACAAAAAUUCACGCUCCACCAUUUUGCAGAUCCUCCUUGCCCACCUAGUUUGCCACGACUCCAAAAUAGAGCUUAAGUCCAAAAUAAUCUGUUGGUAGAAAAAAAUGGUAAGAAUAGUAGUCAUCUCAAAAUAUUUGUCAAAGUAGUAUUUUCUAUCCACGUAAUCAUUCAUGCGAGUUUUUUUAGUGUAAAAAACCACCGUUACUAACUGUGAUUUUAAAAGUUUCAGAAAUAUCUUUAAAACCACAGUCACAGAAUGUGGUUUUACAAUUUUCCUCGUUAGUAACUGUGGUUUCAUAAUAUUUUUAAACCGCCCCUGUUUCAAUGGUAUUAUGAUUUUAAUAUUAUUUUUUAAAAUAUUUUUUAUCAUAAUAACCAUAAAACCACAGUUAGUAACUGCAAUUUUAAAAAUAUUCUGAAAACCAUGAUCAGACCAUGGUUUUACAAUUUUCUUUAGAACCACAGUUACUAAUUGUGGUUUCACAAAUAUCUUUAAUGAGAACUCGUGUAACCAUACAUCAACUAAAAAAAUAUAUGGGAUUUUAGAACUUUGCUUUUUUCUUUUUAGUUUUAGUGUAAAAUGGGAAAAAAAUAUUGUUUAUUCAUGCAUUUCGAUAGUACUUUCAAAUCAUUUCACAAUUACCCUCAUAAGUGAUAUAAGAUUAUAAAACUUUGUUUUUUUAUUUUUAAUUUUAGUGUAAAUAGGAAAAAAUAUUGCUUAUUCAUGCAUUCCAAUACUGCUUUUAAAUUGAUUGUGAAUCUAUUUUUUUUUUUGGUUAAAAUCUUUAAUUUUUAAUUAAAAUAAAAUAUAUUUUUCAUUAAAAAAAAUGUAAUUAACCUUUUAUAUUAAUUUCAUAAAAAAUAGGUACACCCUUAAAAAAAAUAGGUAUAUUCAUGCUUAGGGGAACCGGAACCACUAUCAUACUUAUCAUGGUGUAUAUUCCUUUGGGACCCUCGAUAAGUAAUCAGAGGUCCUUGCCCACCCCAAAACAAACUUUGGAAUCCUAGGUAUAUCAUUUCUUAGAGGAACCAAGACCCCUAUUUCCAUUAUCAUGGUUCAUAUAUUCCUUUGGGGACCUUUGAGAAUGAAUUGGAGGUUGUUCCCCACCUUAGAAUGGACAUUGGAACCCAAGGAACAUCCUAAAGAUAAUUUGGUACAUCAUUUACAAAAAUUGGUACAUCUUUCACAAAAUUUGACACAUCCUUAAAACAAUGUGGUACAUCCAAUCCACGAGCCACCAAGACCUCUAUAUUAUUACCCAUGGUUCGUUUAUUUCUUUAGGGAUCUUUAGGAAGUAAUCAAAGGUCAUUCCCUACUCUGAAACUAACUUUGGAACCCUAGGUACAUCCUUAAGGAAAUUUGGUACAUCAUUAAGAAAAUUUGAUAUAUCUAAUCCUUGAACUAACGAGACACAUAUCUUUCUUCCCAUUGUCUAUUUAUUCUUUUAGACAACCUUAGGAAGUGAUUAGAGGUCGUUCCCCAAUUUGGAACAAACUUUGGCCCCCUUGGUACAUCCUUUACAAAAUUUGGUAAAUAUUUUAUAAAAUUUGGUACAUUCUUCACAAAAUUUGGUACAUCCUUAAAAAAAAUUGGUACAUCUAAUCCUUGAACUACUAGGACCCCUAUCUUAUUACCUAUGGUCUGUUUAUUUCUUUAAAUAUCUUUGGAAAGUAAUUGAAGGUCGUUCACUACUCCGAAAUGGACUUUGGAACCAUAGGUACAUCCUUGAGAAAAUUUGAUACAUCCAUUACUUGAACUAACAAGACACCUAUCUCUCUUUCCAUGGUUCAUUUCUUCCUUUAGAGACUCUCGGAAAGUGAUUAGAGGUCGUUCCCCACCUCGGAACUGACUUUGGCAACCUUGGUACAUCCUUUAUAAAAUUUGAUACAUCUUUUACAAAAUUUGAUACGUCCUUCACAAAAUUUGGUACAUCCUUCAAAUAAUUUGGUACAUCCAAUCCUUAAGUUACUAGGACCCCUAUCUUAUUACCCAUUGUCCAUUUAUUCCUUUAGGGAUCUUUGGAAAAUGAUUGAAGGUCGUUCCCUACUCCGAAAUGAACUUUGGAACCCUAGGUACAUCCUUGAAAAAAUUUGAUACAUCCAAUCCUUGAGCUAUUGGAAUCCCUAUCUUAUUACCCAUAGUCCAUUUAAUCCUGUAGGAAUCUUUGGGAAGCAAUUGGAUGCACCAAAAUUUCUUAACGAUGUACCAAAUUUCCUUAAGGAUGUACUUAGGGUUCCAAAGUUCGUUUCUGAGUAAGGAAAAUUUCUUACAAUUUUCCAUUGUCAGUUUUAAAUUAUUAUUUUUUUACAAAUCAUCCUUAACAAAUUUUUUUUUUACGACUGUUUUAAAAUUAUAUUUUUUUUUCAUAUUUUCCUUGAAAUUUUGAGAAAAUAAUUUUACCGACAUGCAUUCCCAUAAAAUUUUUAUAUAUUUAUGGUAAAUAAAAUAUUUAUUUGUUUUAUGAAUUUUAUCACAUAUGAAUUAAAGAAAAUUGUUUUUUCAUAUUAUUUUUAAAUUUUAAAGAAUAUUUUUUAUAAAGAAUAUUUCAAAAAUAAUAUUAUGAUAAAGAAUAUUUUUAAAAUAAUAUUAAAAUUACAAUACCAUUGAAACAGGGGGUGGUUUAAAAAUAUUUUUGAAACCACAGUUGCUAAUUGUGGUUUUAAAGAAAAUUGUAAAACCAUAGUAAUAGACUGUAGUUUUAAGGAUAUUUUUGAAAAUUUUGAAACUACAGUCAUCAACGAUGGUUUUUUACACUAAAAAAAAAACUCACGUGGAUGAUUACGUGGAUAGAAAAUACUACUUUGACAAAUAUUUUGAGAUGGGUACUAUUCUUACCAUUUUUUUUCUACAAACAGAUUAUUUUGGACUUAAACUCUCCAAAACAUGCUCCCGCAAAAAGAAAAUCUGAUUUUUUUUUUCUCCUAAAAGAAAGAUACCCAAAAACAUGCUAUUUCCCGCCAGCUACCCAUGAAAGGAUACAUCUCAAAAGAGCCCUCCCAAAAUGGGGGUCUAUAAUAUGUUAUAUCAUUUAAAAUUAAGGAUUAAUUGAUUAAAAAGAUGAAAACAUUCCAAAAUACCCUUCAACAUUUUCAUUAUUUACAUGUGUAUUUUAAAAGAAAUGGUUACUUUUACAAAAUAAAUAAAUAAAUAAAAAAUGAUGAGGGCAUUUUUAUCAAAAAUGAGUAUUUUUUAGAUUGAAAAAAUGUGAAGGGUUAAUUUUCCAAAAUGUCCCUAUCCUUAAAAUUAAUGCUCAUUGGCUUAUAAGGGACCUGACCUCAUCCAUUGAUCUAAGCUUAUUUUUGCCCCGUAUUUAACACCUGGUUUUUAAAAAGGUUAUUGUGGACCCGAUGUUUUCGCUUGAUGCAUUCCCACUCGAUGGUGAAACUCGUUUUUUUUAUUUUUUUUAUUUGUGAAAAUUUGAUUUUUAGAAAAAAAACUUGGAGUCGCCACUUAUUUUUGAAAGGAAAAAGCAAUAAUAAAAAAGAAAAACCCUAAAUGUGACUCUGAAGGAAAAAACAAGUCUACGAAAAACCGAGUCUGGGUUCAGGGGUCAGGUUACUUAUUGGGAAGGUAUAGUGGUGAGUCGUAACACCCCUCUAAGGCCGUAUACGUACGACCUCUACUAAAUGAAUUAAGGGAAUUAUGGCAAUUAACUAAUUAAUUAUGGAUACCAAGAAAAAUAAUCAUACAAAUGAAUCUGUACAAGUCAUGGUGAAAAUCAAUAUACACAAAAAUAAUAAUGAAAUCUAAUUACAAGAAUACACAAAAUAAAUGAUAAGAGAAUUAUGUAAAAUAAUUUAUUGAACUAAAUGAAAAAAAAUGGUAUUAAAAAAAAUGGCUUUCAAGAAAUUUCAAAAGGAUUUUAUUAAAAACAAUUUUGAAUGAGUGAUUUCAAUUUAUUUAUUUGCAAAAUAUUUUCUUCAAGUGAUUUGGUUCAAUUUCAUUUGUAUUUAAUUUUCAAAAAAAGGUUAUUUAUACUUAUUAUAUCAAAUAUAAUUUAUUACAAAAUUUCAAUUUGGCAACAAAAAUUACUUUACAAAAAAAAAAAAAAAAUUUUACAAGUUUGUUUGCAAAAGUAUUUCAAGUUUUUUCAUUUAAGAAGAGUGAUUUAUACAAAUUAUUUAAAAAUGCAUAACUUCAUGUGCAAAAAGAAUUUUAAUUAAAAAGAAAAAAAAUAUUUAAAUAAUCUAUUUCUAAAAAAAAUACUUUUAAUUCCAUUUUAAUUAAGGAAAAAGAAUUCAUUUAAAAAAACAUUUUUUGGACAAUUUUAUUAAAAAUAAAUUUUUGGGGCAACUUUAUUUACAAAAAAAAAUUUGGACAAUUUUUAUUAAAUAAAGAAAUUUUUGGACAAUUUUAUUAAAAACAAAUUUUCAAAUUCUAUAAAAAAAAAUUCUUUUGGAUUUUUAUAAAAGCAUUUUUCUGAAUUUUUAUAAAUAAAAAAAACUUUCUUUUGUUAAAAAAAAAUAUUUUAAAAUUAUUAUUUUAUUAAAAUAUAUUUAUUGAAUUCUUCCUCUCAUUUAAACAAAAUUUCUAGUUUGUUCGAUAUUCAAUUCUGUACACACUCAAUAAAUAUAUACAAGCAAAUAUCUACAAGAACUAAUAAAAAUAAAAUCAAAUAAAAGUGGAAAAUAAAAUAUGUACCCAAAUAAACUUAUAACAAAUUCAAUGUCUUCCUACGACUUUUUUAUUAUCACUUUCUUUCAUGAAAUUUUGUGUUCCACGUGUCAUAAAUUCAUACUCAACUAACAAGAUUGUAGAAUAAGUCAAUGCAAAAACAAAAAUAACUCAUAUGUAAAUAUCCAAAAAUAUGUAGGGUUCAAAUAAUAAUUCAAGCCCAAAUUCAAACUUUAAAUUAGCCCAAUAAAUUUUAACAAUUAAAAAUGUGUCCAAAUUAACAAAUAUAACCCAAUAAAAAUAUCUCACAUAUCAUAAACCCUAACAUAAAGUUUUCAAAUUAAUAGCCAAAACAUAAGCUCAAUUAAUCAAACCCAAUAAAUUAGGAUAAAUCUCAUUAGGCCUAAAUUUAAUAUUUCAUAAUCCAAACCUAAUUUAAUAUACACCACAAUUGUCUCAUGCCCAAAUUAAAUAGUUCAAAUUAGUCAAACUCAUAUAAAAUAUUAAAGUCAUCCAACAAAUCUCACCCACAUUAUGGGUCCAAAAUUCAUAUAAGUUAACAAGCCCACAUCAAUAAUAUACAUGGCCAAAUGAAAUAAUAUUUCAAGCCCAAACAAAUAACCAAUUAACAAUAGGAUCAAGUCCAAAUAAACAAUAUAUAAUUGAUAUAAUCCAAAUAUCUCAAAUUAAUCACCAAAUACAAUAUAACCACAAACCCAAAUUAAAAAAUUUUAAAUUAAUUCACCAAUAAUAAAUUAGCUCAAAUUUCAUAUUAAUUUACCAACAACAAGUUAACCAAAAUUUCAUAUUAAUUCAACAAUCCUAAUUUCACAAACAACAAUUACUAUUAAAAUCAAAUCAAGAAAAAUAAUAAUAAUAAUAAUAAUAAUAAUAAUGGAAAAUGAGUGGGAUGGGACAACAAGGGAAUGAGAGAAAAUGGGAGGGGGUCGCCGGCUGGUAGUGACUCGCCGGUGGCGACUACAAGGGGCUCACCGGCGGUAGUGAGAGAUUGGGUAUGGUGAGAGGGGAGUAGAAAAUAAUAAUAAUAAUAUAAUAAAAUAAAAUAAAAUAAAAAAGAAAUGAAAGAAAAGAAAAUAAGAAGAAAUCAAAAGAAGAGUGUUCGGAUGGAGAGAAAGGGAGGGAAAAUGUGGGAAAGAAAAAAAAAAUGGGGGCUAGUCACCGCAUUUAGGAGUUAGAAGAAAAAAAUGAAAAAAAUGAAGAGGGGAAAUGGGGAGGAUGAUUGAGAAAAAUAUAAUAUAAUAUAAUAAUAAUAAUAAUAACAAAUAAAAAUAAAAUAAUAAAAACUAAGAAUUAAAUGGUGAGUGGACCAAAAAACACAUGUAAUCGGGAUUUAAAAUUUAUUGACAAAAUUGAGCUCAAAAUUAAUGUAAAAAUAAAAUUAGAACAAAUUUUGGGGUCAUAGUUAUAUUUGAUUAAAAUGAUUAUUGAAAACUCAAUUUUAGAAAUUUAACAUUUCAUCAUUUUUUAUUAUCUCAUUUUAACAAAAAUGUUCUUAUUCUUUUCAUGUAAAAAUAACUUUUUAUUUUAAAACCUACAUGUAAACACUUGAAAUGAUAAAAAAACUAUUUACAUCAAAAGCGGGAUACUCUUCAAACAAAAAUACAAGAAGGUUUAAAUUCACAAAUAUGAGGAUUAUUUCACCAUUUUUAACUAAUUAAUUUUUUUUCAAAUUGGCAAAAUGUGAAGCUAGCACGAUUAACAUUAGUAAAGUAUCUAAUUGCUAAAGAGAAUGGUAGGAUUUAUUGACCUAACUCAAUUUAAUAUAUGUUAAAAUGGUGACAUUUUCUAAUUAUAGGCAUAAAAAAAUUAGGAGAAUGACAAAACUUAGUUAUUUUUCUCAAAAAUGACAUUAAAAAAAAAAAAAAAACAAGGUCCUAAUAUAGUCUUAUAAACUACAAAAGAAAGAAAUUUGAACUGUUGUACACCAAGGCCUAGCCUUGCAUGACAAAUAAAUUGGCAACAAAGGAUUAUGGUUUUGGAAAAAAUGAAAAGAAGGAAAGGAUAAAACAUGGAUUAUUUAUUUACUAAAAACCGGAGUCAAGAGGUGGAAGGAAAUCAUGUUUAUGAGAGUUAUCGCCAUGAUUGGACUUGAGCUUCUAGCACAUGAAGUAAAGAGCUGCUAGUGGUACCUAUUAAAUACGAAUAUGAUUGGUACAUUGUCGUUAUGUGGGUUGGUGUUAGAUAAUUUAUUAUUUAUUUAUAUUUAUAUUUAUAUAUAUUUUGGGUUUACUAAGCUUUGGACAGCCGUUGGGUGUUAAUCUCACACUUUUAAUAUUAGUAUGGAAAAUUUGAGCUUUCACACGACAAGGAAAGGUGGCAUUACAGCCAAGCAAUUUAAUUAUUAAUUAGUUACUGGAGUCGGAGCUUCCUAUAACUAAUUUUUAAAAAGAAAAAGUGGGAAAUGGCGCCUCCAACAGUCAAAAAAUGCCGUUUCAACCGGGGCUUAAAAAUGGGCCUCCCUCCGCUGUCAUUUCCACGCAACUCCAUUGCAACGACGGAGUAUUAUUCCAUCCCCAUAGACCACCAUCCAAGUCAACUAAAAGUCUAGAUCAAUUACUUGUUUUAGUCACCAGAAAUUACCAAUAAACCACUCACGGUCUUGUUAUAAACCAAGCUGCAGCGUCACCAGAAACUUCAAAUCACAAGAGAGAAAAUUUGCAUAGAGAGAAUAUGGGAGAAACACUUGAUCGUAUUGGAUUGAGCGGAGAAGUCAUUAAUGCAGCUGCUUCUCUAGCCAUGAAGGCUCACGAUUCCACUCGCGAGCCAUUUCUCCUCAAGAAACCCCGUGGCUUAUCCGUUGCUGUUGUUGCAUUUGCUGGAUCUUGGCUUCCCGAUGAUUGGUGUGCGGAGACACCUUUUGGAGAAACGACGAUAGAUGCUGGUACCUUUCCUUCGCUUAAAAGUUUAGGCGAUGACGGAGUCGCUCUGGUCAACGGGUCGUUUCUCCGGCGAUUCAAGGCAAUCUUAGGCCAAUCAUCACUUGCCGAAAAGGUACUUCAAUUCAACUUAUGCAUAGAUAUAUGAAAAACGAUCUUGUGAAUUUAAAAUGUGGAUGUUGGGGUUGGAUUUUUCAGGUGAAAAAAGUAAUUGGAGAGAAGAAGCGAGUUGUUUUCACCGGCUACUCGUCGGGUGCUCCGGUGGCCAUCCUGGCAACUCUAUGCCUCUUGGAGAAGCCAGAGCCCAAUCAGAGCCCACCCCGCUGCGUCACUUUCGGAUCCCCCCUCGUCGGUGAUCGGAUCUUCGGUCAUGCUGUCAGACGGGAGAAAUGGUCCGACCACUUCGUUCAUUUUGUUAUGAGAUACGAUGUGAUCCCUCGGAUUAUGCUUGCCCCUUCAUCCACUGAGCACAAACAAAUUCUCGAUUUCUUCAAUCCCAGAUCUGAAUUCUUCAGAAAACCCAUUGAUUCUCCUUUAGGUUUCUAUUCCAGCGUGAUGAGGAAUGCAUCCUUGGUUGCAAACUAUGAUGCCUGCAAUCUCAUGGGAUGCAGAAUCCCGGCGUUGGAAACUCUAAGGAACUUCAUUGAGCUCAGCCCUUAUAGACCUUUCGGAACUUACAUCUUCUGCACGGGAAAUGGAAAAUUGGUUGUCGUAAGGAACUCGAAUGCAGUACUGCAGAUGCUGUUUUACUGUGCUCAGUGGACCCAAGAAGAAGCUGCAGGGGUUGCACAAAGAAGCCUAUCUGAACACUUGGCUUACAAAGAUGAAAUACAAGAGAGCUUAGGAAUGCAGAAUGUAGUCUAUCUAGAUCGUCUGGAAGAGAUUCCAGUGUCUUCAGAUGGCAGUCCAGCCACAGUCAACACGGCCUUGAAUGACCUCGGCCUGGUGAGCCUUCUUCCUUUCUUCUUAAUUACCUUACUGCCAAACUACAGAAUUUUAGCUUCCAUGUCUGUAAAUCUCAAUUGAUGUUCUAGUGUUAUGGAUUGCAGAGCCCACAAGGAAGGCUAUGCCUUCAAGCUGCAGGAGAGUUGGAGAAGCGAAAGUCAAGAAAUCAGGAUAAGAUCAUUAAUGAUUAUAAGCAAAAGAUUGAAGGUGAAUUAAGAGAGCUGAGAAAGUACAAGGAAAAGGCUGAGACUUGUGGACUGGGCUACUAUGAUUCCUUUAAGCUCAACAAAUACGAAGAGGACUUUCGGGCUAAUGUGAGCAGGCUUGUGCUAGCUGGUUUCUAGGACGAGAUGAUGGAAAUGUUAAAAGCGUAUGAACUUCCGGAUGACUUUGAGAAGAGCCAUGACUUUAUACGACUUGGAACCGAUUAUCGCCGCACGGUUGAGCCUCUAGAUAUUGCCAACUUCUAUCGACACGCCAAGGAUGAAGAGACAGGAUUCUACGUGAAAAAGGGUACUCGACCAAAACGAUAUCGAUACAUCCAAAAUUGUGUUAAAGUAUAUUGUAUUGUGGGCUCUAGGCCCAGGGGCCCAGUUAGGUUACUUGUAUAGUACUUGUACUAUACACCUGUACUACACCUUUGUACUACACUUGUACUACACCUUUGUACUGCACCCUUGUACUACACAUAUAUGCCUCCUAUAUAAAGGCACUGAUGUAUACUCUUUUACUCACAGAAUAGAAUACAAUUAUUCUAUAUUUCUAACAUGGUAUCAGAGCCACUGCUCUGACCUCUUUUUUUUCUUCUUAGCAGUCUUGUCUUCAUUAGUGUGACUUCCUUUUUCACUAAGCGCUUCCGCCAUCACAACUGCCGCUGUAGCCUCUUGCCGUUGAACCUCCGACGUCAUCCAGUCGUCAUCCCUGGGUUCCGGACCUGCAACCUCAGUCAUUAAGAAGUCUCACACUGCACAGACCACUGCCCCUUUGCAUCAUCGCUGCGAAUAUUGCUCCGAUUUCACUUUUGAAGGUACCACUGAGAUCGUCCAGCGCCGAUCUACACAUUCGUGGAUAUCUCGCCGCCAUCGGAGACCGCACGCGCCCCUCAAAGAUUCUGCAACGCCUCCACGUGCCUUCACGCGCCCCCACGCGCUGCCACAUCAGCACUAGCUCGUCAGGCCUCCACGCGCUGCCACGUCAGCCCUAGCUGCGUCAGCAUCCACUGAUCUGCUGACGUCAUCUCCAGUCGUUGACCGUUGACCAUUGACCGUUGACCACCGUUGACCGUUGACCGAACAUUGACCGUUGACUUUGACCGUUGACCGUCCAAUUGACUUUUUCCCCGGCCAGGUUCUCCUUACCCAGUUUUUCGUAUAGAUUUCAUUUCUGCAGUCGGUUUUUGCAUAUUGCGUCCCUAAAUGGAUAAGAAGGAUGUUUUUCUUCCUCGCCCCAUCCAUACUGUAUUGGAGGGGACUAAAAAUUACUUAUCCUGGUCUCAAGCUAUGCGCAGUUUUCUUAAGAGUCGCAUGCUCUGGCAUUAUUGUACUGGUGCAAUGACUAUUCCUGUCAAAGGAGCAAGUGAAGAAGAUGCUGUCUUUCUUAGUCGCAUGAUUGAAUGGGAUAGUCAUAACCACAUGAUCCUCACAUGGAUCCGGAACACUUCCAUUCCCUCUAUUUCCAACCUAUUGGGCAGCUUUGACGAUGCAAAAUCUGCAUGGGAUAUGUUGACCAAAAGGUACUCCACUACUCAUGGAUCCAUGAAAUAUCAGUUAGUGGUUGAAUUGCAUCAACUCAGGCAAGAACCGGGGCAAUCCAUCAAUGACUAUUAUGAUCAGCUUCGCUUCAUUUGGGACCAAAUUGACCUUUCUGAACCAACUUGGGGAUGCUCCACAGAUGCUCAGCAAUAUGCUACCAUUAGAGAUGAAUUUCGCCUCUAUGAAUUCUUGAUGUCACUUCACAAGGACUUUGAGCCCAUUCAUGGUCAGCUGUUAAAUCGCAGUCCUGCUCCCUCUCUUGAUACUGCUGUGAAUGAGUUGGUUAGAGAAGAAGCUCGUCUUGCAACCCUUCAAGCCCAGAAUAAGCUCAAUAUUUUGGCUAUUACUCCAUCUACUCCACUCAUAGAGCAACCUCAGCAAUUAGGUGAUUUUUCUGGCUCUAGCAAUCGUCGCAAGCAAACCAACAAGAAGUUCUGCAACUAUUGCAAGCGUCCUGGCCACACCAUUGAGACUUGUUACCGUCGUAACAAAUCUACUGCUGCUGUUGCUAAUACUGCACCUACUCCGCCAACGGUUUCCACGUCCUAGUCUUCUGGAUCUACUAUCAACCUCUCUUCCACUGAACUACAGGAGAUCAUAGCUCAGGCUGUUCGUAUGGUUGGUAAUGCAUCUCUUUCCACUGCCUUAUCUGUUCUACCUGGUAAGUCUCAAACUUGGCUCUUUGAUUCUGCCUGCUGCAAUCACAUGACACCUCACUCAUCCCUGUUCACCAACCUUGACCCUGCACCACAUCCUCUAAAUAUUCAUAUAGCCGAUGGUUCCACCAUGCAUGGAAAUAGUCUAGGUUUUGUUUCAACCUCUACCCUUUCUGUUCCUGGAGUCUUUCACGUACCUGACCUAUCCUAUAAUUUGUGCUCUGUGGGACAAUUAGCUGAACUCGGUUAUCGCCUUAUUUUUUACUAUUCUGGGUGUAUUGUACAGGAUCCGAGGACGGGGCAGGAGCUUGGGACCGGUCCUAGAGUUGGGCGUAUGUUUCCCGUGAACAAUCUUCAUCUUCCACCUGUUGCUCCUGUUUCUAUUGCUGCUGCAACAGCUGCAGUUUCUUCCUUACCUUCUCUUGCGCUUUGGCAUUCUCGUCUUGGUCAUGCACCAUCUUCUCGGGUACAACAGUUAGUGUCUAGAGGUCUGUUGGGUUCUGUGUCUAAAGACCAUUUUGAUUGCACUUCAUGUCAGUUAGGAAAACAACCAGCUUUGUCUUUCAAUAACAGUGACUCCAUUUCUAAAAGUAUUUUUGAGUUAAUUCAUUCUGAUGUUUGGGGACCUUCUCCUGUUGCUAGUAUUGGUGGAUCUCGAUAUUUUGUUGUUUUUAUUGAUGAUUACUCUCGUUAUAGUUGGAUUUUUCCUAUGAAAUCUCGUUCUGAAAUUUUAUCAAUAUAUAGCAACUUUGCAAAAAUGGUUGAAACUCAAUUCUCCAAACGUAUCAAAACCUUUCGAUCUGAUAAUGCUCUUGAAUAUACUCAACAUGCAUUUCAAACUCUGUUACAUUCCUAUGGCACUAUCCAUCAUCUAACCUGUCCAGGUACCUCUCAGCAAAAUGGUCGAGCCGAAAGAAAACUUCGUCAUAUUCUUGACACUGUUCGUGCUUUACUUCUUUCUGCCAAAAUUCCUGCCCCAUUUUGGGGUGAAGCCAGUCUUCAUGCUGUUCAUGCAAUUAACCGCAUUCCAAGUACUGUCAUCCAUAAUCAGACUCCAUAUGAGCGUCUCUUUGGGUCACCCCCUAACUAUCAUCACCUUCGCUCCUUUGGAUCCGCUUGCUUUGUUCUUCUUCAGCCUCAUGAGCACAACAAACUUGAGCCUCGAUCUAGACUCUGUUGUUUUCUUGGUUAUGGCGAAACUCAAAAGGGGUAUAGGUGUUAUGAUCCUGUUUCUCAUCGUCUUCGCGUUUCUCGUAAUGUUAUCGUUUGGGAACAUCGAUUGUUUGUUGAACUCUCUCACUUUCGUUCUUCCUUGACUAACUCCUCUGUUUUAGAAAUCUUUCCCGAUGAGUCUCUUGUUCCUUCUGCAAAUACUUUUGAUCUUCAUUUAGACUUCUCUCCAGAUAUCUUUGAUGCUUCUCCUAGACAGGUUGCAGAUGAACAGAUUAUUCACGAGCUACCCCACUUUGAGCCUGGGUCCCCUGCUCCUGCUCUGCCUGAAGAUCCUCCACAAGACAUUCCACCUCGCCACUCAACCCGGGUAAGAUCCAUUCCUCCACACCUCCUUGACUAUCAUUGUUACACUGCCCUUGCUACACUUCAUGAGCCUCAAACCUAUCGUGAGGCCUCUACUGACCCUUUAUGGCAGAUUGCAAUGAAAGAGGAACUUGAUGCAUUAACCAAAAACCAUACUUGGGACCUGGUUACUCUCCCUCCUGGACAGUCUGUGGUUGGUUGUAAGUGGAUCUAUAAGAUCAAGACUCGCUCUGAUGGAUCCGUUGAGCGCUAUAAGGCUCGUCUUGUUGCCAAAGGUUUUACACAAGAGUAUGGGAUUGAUUAUGAAGAGACGUUUGCUCCAGUUGCUCGUAUCUCAUCUGUUCGUGCUCUCUUAGCUGUUGCUGCUGCUCGUAAAUGGGAUCUUUUUCAGAUGGAUGUUAAAAAUGCCUUCCUUAAUGGGGAUCUGAGUGAAGAAGUCUAUAUGCAACCUCCUCCUGGUCUCUCUAUUGAAUCAAACAAGGUUUGUCAUCUUCGACGUGCACUUUAUGGUCUCAAACAAGCCCCACGUGCUUGGUUUGCCAAGAUCAGCUCCACUAUUUUUCGCUUGGGUUACACCGCCAGUCCAUAUGAUUCUGCCUUAUUUCUUCGUCGUACUGAUAAAGGCACUAUUUUGCUUCUUCUCUAUGUGGAUGAUAUGAUCAUAACUGGUGAUGACCUUAGUGGCAUUCAAGAACUCAAGGAUUUUCUCAGUCAGCAGUUUGAGAUGAAAGAUCUUGGACAUCUCAGCUAUUUCUUGGGUCUUGAAAUUACUCAUUCCACAGAUGGUCUUUAUAUUACUCAAGCCAAGUAUGCUUCUAACCUGUUGUCUCAAGCUGGGCUCACUGACAGCAAAACAGUUGACACUCCAGUUGAACUUAAUGCGCAUCUGACACCCUUGGGGGGGAAACCAUUGUCUAAUCCUUCUCUUUACAGACGAUUGGUUGGCAGCUUAGUUUACCUCACAGUUACUCGUCCAGACAUCUCCUAUGCUGUUCAUCAAGUGAGCCAGUAUUUGUCUGCUCCACGAUCAACUCACUAUGCUGCUGUUCUGCGCAUUCUUCGAUACCUGAAGGGUACCCUUUUUCAUGGCCUUUUCUACUCAGCCCAGUCUCCUCUUGUACUCCGUGCAUUCUCAGAUGCUGAUUGGGCAGGAGAUCCUACUGAUCGCAGGUCCACUACAGGUUAUUGCUUCCUCCUUGGUUCUUCUUUGAUUUCUUGGCGAAGUAAGAAACAAACCUUUGUGGCCCGCUCCAAUACUGAAGCAGAAUAUCGUGCCCUUGCUGAUACCACAUCUGAGCUCCUUUGGCUAAGAUGGCUCCUUAAGGAUUUGGGUGUAUCCACCUCCUCUGCUACUCCUCUCUAUUGUGACAACCAGAGUGCUAUUCAUAUUGCUCACAAUGAUGUCUUUCAUGAACGGACUAAACACAUCGAGAUUGAUUGUCAUUUUAUCCGUUAUCAUCUUCUCCAUGGUGCUCUUAAGCUUUUCUCCGUCUCCUCCAAAGAUCAACUUGCAGAUAUCUUCACCAAGUCUCUUCCUAAGAGACGCACUCGUGAUUUAGUUGACAACCUCAAGUUGGUCUCACAUCCACCUUGAAGUUGAGGGGGGCUGUUAAAGUAUAUUGUAUUGUGGGCUCUAGGCCCAGGGGCCCAGUUAGGUUACUUGUAUAGUACUUGUACUAUACACCUGUACUACACCUUUGUACUACACUUGUACUACACCUUUGUACUACACUUGUACUACACCUUUGUACUGCACCCUUGUACUACACAUAUAUGCCUCCUAUAUAAAGGCACUGAUGUAUAAUCUUUUACUCACAGAAUAGAAUACAAUUAUUCUAUAUUUCUAACAGGCUCGAGCAUGCUGAAAAGAAGCCAUCUGGAUCCCGCUCAGAAUCCUGUUUCUGGGCUGAGGUAGAGGACCUCCGCAUUAAAACUAGAAGCAACGGAUCCUCUCCAGAAAUUAAGCAGAAGGUUCAGCAACUGGGGCAAAAUCUAAUUAAAUGGAUUGAUGAUGCAUCUUUAGGCAAGGAUGUGUUGUUGGAGAAUUCCACCUUUGUUAAAUGGUGGAAACCCCUUCCUCCUGAGUAUAAAUCAGAACCCGAAUCAUCUCGCAUUAUGAAACUCAUCCAUUAGAAAGAUUGAGAGGGUUUCAUGCUGUUAUCUCGAGGCAUUUGUUCAAAGCCAAUAACAGCAAUAACCCUGAAUGUAUGCAAAAUCCUGUUUCCUGUAUUAAUUAGUAUGCAAAAUCCUAUUUUCUGUAUUAGUAUGUAACGACUCAUUCCCAAUCGCAUAGAUAAUGUCACUGUGAUAUCCAGGGUCUCAGGUCCAACUAUGUGAAAAUCAAGAAUGCAAAUGACUAGAUAUCAAGGGGUAAUGCUCAUAAUACUUUCAUACAAACAAGUUAGAAUUGUGUAAGUUCUACAGACGAUUAUUCAAGUAGUUGUACUUCAACACAGAUGAAGUUUGUGAUUUGAAGUUACAACCAUCUGAUAAUAAAGAUGAUGAGAAGGCAUAUUUCUUAAGAAAAUGGUCAUGAUAGCAUUUGGCAGAGAGGAGCAUACUAAUACAAAAGAUUGAAAAUGGGUUGAUAAAUUAACAGGCAGAUGGACGCUUGAUGUGCAUAUUCCUUGACCGAUCAAUAUGUAUAUGAAAAUACUGUGACAAAGACCUAGUUAGCUCCACAAUGAAAAAAGAAGCCCUUGCCAUAUGACGACAGAGGCCCUGUCAUAGACUCACAGGUCAACUACAACCAGUUCCUUCCUAGCUGUCAGAACUUUCCUUAUUGUGCAAGAAAGAAUAAGCAUGAUAUUCUGAUGCUCCCUUACUAAUUUACUACUGAACACAAAUCAACAAGCCAUCCCUUUAAGGACAUAUCUAUAAGUUCCAUCUGGCAAGGACCUCUCCAAUGGUUACAUAUAUCUUUCUUUAUGGGCCACUAAAUGAAGCCCUUUUCCAUAACCCAAUACAACCCGGUUGGAACAUAUCAUCCUCAAAAGUGAGAAAUCAUCGACACCAUAAGGGUGCAUUUGGGAUAUGGGAAUCGGAAAGGAAAUAGGAUGGGAAUGAAGGUGAAUCACGAUAUCAUGUAGAAGAGAGGAAUCAAAAUCCUAGUGAAAGUAGUGUUAAGAUAUGGACUCACAUAUCUAACAAUAGUUCAUGACUAAGCUAUUCACCUCUUUUCAGUAUUUGUUUUCUGUUCGUUCAAGAGUAUGGACCACUUAUGUGUAGAGCCCAACGCCUUCACGGGCCUUAGAUGAUGGGCCUAAGACUUGUGAGGCCCAAAAACCCAAUGGGUAUGGUCCCUAAGGCAGGAGGGUAUAAAAGGUCAAGGGUCUGUUCAUUUUGGUAACAAUCACAUCAGUUUUGGAAUUAGAACAGACCUGUUUCUCUUCGACUCCCAUCGUCUGAGAGAAUUCAGAAAGAUGUGGUGCCCUCCACAGCCUUAGAAGAUCCAUACCGUAUUCAUCGCUGGAAAACAAUGGACUCAGGUAUGUUCUUAGACAACAGUGGAAGGCAUAAUUUGAAUGCUUGGUAUACAUAUAUAUCCUAUUUUUUUUUUUUUUUUUUUUGUGUGUUUUGGGUGAUAAUGGAAAUCAAGAAUAAUAACAAAUGGUAUCAAAGCCUCCCAUUUUCACCAAAACACUCUUUAAAACACAAACAUCAGACCCAAAGCAAAAAACGUUGGACUCAGGCGUUGUUUUGGGCAAUGGGAGUAGCGUUAGGGCGCUGCAACGCGUCAUUAGGAAUCAGAAUAGUGCCAUUUCGGCGCUGUUCAUUUUGUCGGUGUCCUUUACGCUGUUUUGACGCCGUUGAGAUGCCACUGCAGGUGUCGUCAGCCCGAUGUCGCCACGACGCCGGCUGGAGGAGGAUUGAGACGCCGGUUUGGCGUCAUUCUCCAAUCAAGAACGUUGUUCAGGCGAUGGAAAAUGACUACGAUGUCGUUUAGGCAUCGUUUCUCAGUCAGCUGCUCGUGAUUUAGGCGUCAUUUUUUUGGCGUUCCAGACGUCAUCCAAGCGCCAAUGAGGAACGCCAAAAUUAGGGUGUUGUUGUAGGCUACUCAGUAACGUUGUUACUGCAUUUUUCUAGUGAUGACACCACUGAUGACACCGCUGCCGGCAUCCCAUAGUAAAAUGCCUAUUUUUGGUGCGCCGUUUUGGUGGCACUAAAGCACCAUUUUCAGGCGCAAUUGGAGGGGCUGCUGGCGUCCGUUACAAGCGCCAUUAAGGCGUCUGUUACAGGCACCAUUUAGGCACAGUCCCACGCAGCAUUCAAACGUCGUCCAGGCGUAGUCUGAUGGCGUCGUUCGUAGAUGGCUCCAGGGCCGCUGUCAGUUGGAUGCAAAAAUGAUCCCUUUUUAUAGCGUUUGAAAUUCCAUGUUUUUUUAUAAAAAAAAAAUUAUGUAUAUGCUUUUAAAAUUAUGCCAUAAUGAAGAUGGAAUAAUUUGAGAGAGUCUAUAUUCUUUUUUUGUGUUGUGGGAAAUUUUAUAUGUAUAUGCUUUUAAAAUUAUGCCAUAAUGAAGAUGGAAUAAUUUAAGAGAGUCUAUAUUCCUUUUUUGUGCAUUAGGAAAUUUAUAUGUAUGUGUUGCAUGUGAAAUAAUUAGGUAUCAUUCAAUGUCUUAUGAAUCAUGCAUAAAAUGGGUUUGUGGAUAAAUUUUUUAUUGAAUUAUUGCUUGCUAUAUUUAUGUUUAAUAUUUUAAAAUAAAUGAAUUAUGUAUACUUGUUGCCAAAGUAACUUGUAUUAGGUAAUUUUAUUUAUUUUGAAAUGUGUAAGCAUGUUAUUAUUGUAUAAAAUAAUCAACCCAAAGGAGGAUUAUUUUUAUAUAAUAAUAAAUAAAGUAAUCAUGAAUAUGUGACAUACAAGGUUUAUCUUGCAUUCGAUAUGUUAGUCCAAAGACAAACAUAUUGUUUUCGGGUUUUUUUUAUUGUCAAUAUUUAUGAAUUAAUUUAAGGAUGCUACUUACAAGUUGAUAUUUCCAUCCAAAGACUGAAUAUUGAUGUUUGUGCUAGGUAUCUUGUUGUAUGUCCACAUGCAUAUAUAUGUUUAAAUUUUAUUUAUUCAUGUAUGUGUGAUGUUUAUAUGACUGAUUGUGAGCUUCAUUGUUAUUUCAGCAUCUUCUAUAUCUGCAAAUGUCAAUAACACUCCUGUGCUUAAUGGCAUAAACUUCAAGAAAUGGAAGGAGCACGUUAUAAUUGUGCUCAGGUGAAUAGAUUUAGACUAUGCAUUAAGAGUGGAUCGCCCUUCAGAUCUUACUAGUGCCAGCACUGCUGAGCAAAGGUCUGCUAUGGAAAAAUGGGAGCAAUACAAUCGCAUGAGUCUAAUGAUUAUGAAGCACUCAAUUCUAGAAGCUAUAAGGGGUGCAAUACCUGAGGAAACCCAAGCCAAGGCAUUCUUGGACCAGAUAGCAAACCGAUUUGCUGCAAACGAAAAGGUUGAGAUAAGCACUAUUCUUAGUAAGCUUGUCUCUAUGCGGUAUAAAGGGAAAAAGAAUAUAAGGGAGUACAUUAUGGAAAUGUCUAAUCUUGUGACUAGACUCAAGGCACUAAAGUUAGAGUUGUCGGAAGACAUACUCGUGCACUUGGUCUUGAUCUCUCUACCUACACAAUUCAGUCCAUUCAAAAUCAGUUACAACACUCAAAAGGAGAAAUGGACUUUGAAUGAGCUUAUUGCUCAAUGUGUACAAGAGGAAGAGAGAUUGAAACAAGAGAAGAUAGAGAGUGCUCACUUGACUUCCACAUCUCAGGGAUUUGGUGCCAAUAAGAAAAGAAAGAGGGACAAUAAAGGAAAACAAACUACAGUUUCUAAGACAUCAAAGCAGAAGGUGCAGAAGAAACAAGAUAAGGAGAUCACUUGUUUCUUUUUCAAAAAGACUAGUCAUAUGAAGAACACAUGUACCAAAUACGCGGCUUGGCGUGAAAAGAAAGGCACACUUCUCAACUUCGUUUGUUCAGAAAUUAAUUUAGCUAUAGUGCCUACUGACACUUGGUGGAUAGAUACAGGUGCAACUACUCACAUAAGUGUCACUAUGCAGGGUUGCCUAAGGAGUCGAAUGUCAACUGAUGGUGAAAGAUACAUCUAUGUGGGAAAUGGAAACAAGGUUGCAGUCAAGGCUAUUGGUCUUUUUAGACUACAGUUGGACUCUGGAUGUACUUUGGAUUUGGAAGAGACUUUUGUUGUACCGUCGUUUAGACGGAAUUUAAUUUCUAUUUCAUGUCUACGGAAUUUAAUUUCUAUUUCAUGUCUGGACAAAUUUGGAUAUUGUUGUUCAUUUGGAAAUGGAAUAGUUAGUCUUUAUCUAAAUUCAAAGGUUAUUGGUACAGGUAGUCUAAUAGACAAAUUAUACAAAUUGAACAUAAAGGCCACUAAUGGAAAUGAAACCUUGCAUUCAAGUAAUUAUGGCAUUAAGCGAAAAUUAAUAAAUGAGAAUUCAUCAAUGUUAUGGAACAAACGUUUGGGUCACAUUUCAAAUCAAUGGAUUCAAAGGCUUGUGUCAGAAUGAAUUCUUGAUCCACUUGAUUUCUCAUACUUUCAAGUCUGUAUAGAGUGCAUUAAAGGUAAACAAACAAAUAUGAGGAAAAAUGAUGCCAAUAGGUGCAGUGACAUCUUGGAAUUGAUACAUACGAAAAUUUGUGGUCCAUUCCCUACAACUUCUUGGAAUGGACAACAAUAUUUUAUCACUUUCAUUGACGAUUACUCGCGUUAUGGCUAUCUUUAUUUGAUUCAUGAGAAAUGUCAAUCAUUGGAUGUGUUCAAGAAUUUCAAAGCUGAAGUUGAGAACCAACUAAGCAAGAAAAUAAAAGUCGUCAGAUCUGAUCGUGGAGGUGAAUACUAUGGUAGAUAUGACGGAUCAGGUGAACAAUGUCCAGGGCCAUUCGCCAAAUAUUUGAUGGAGUGUGGUAUCGUUCCUCAGUACAUCAUGCCAGGGACUCCAAGCCAAAAUGGUGUAGCAGAGAGGUGAAACCGUACUCUUAAGGAUAUGGUAAGAAGUAUGAUCAGUCAUUCCAUCUUACCAAAAUCACUUUGGGGCGAAGCUAUCAAAACUGCAGUUUACAUUUUGAAUAGAGUACCAAGCAAAGCAGUAGCCAAAACCCCAUAUGAGUUAUGGACUAGCAAAAAGCCUAGUAUUAGGCACUUGCAUGUUUGGGGUUGUCCAGUUGAAGCUAGGCCUUAUAAGCCAAAUGAAAAGAAAUUGGACUCCAGAACAGUGAGCUGCUACUUUGUAAGGUAUUCUGAAAGGUCAAGAGGUUUCAAAUUUUAUGACCCCUCAUCUAGAUCCUUCUUUGAAACGGGUAAUGCUAAGUUCAUUGAGGAUGUUGAGUUAAGUGGGAGAGAAUCAUUAAGAAAUGUGGUUUUUGAAAAGGAAUCUAUUAGUAUUCCUACGACUGGAAAUGGUCAUAUUAUGUUUGAUGACACUAUUUAGAAUGUACAGUCGAUAACAAAAAUUCAAGACACACCUGAAAUUCCUCCUGCUCAAGUUAUGGAACUGAUUCAAGUUCAUCAAGAGGUAACUCAACAACCUCAAGAACCUCAAGUACAAGUGCCACUGAGGAGAUCCACUAGAGAAAGGAGAAGUACAAUUUCAGAUGAUUAUGUUGUAUAUCUUCAAGAACAUGAGUUUGACAUGGCUCUGAAAGACGAUCCAAUUUCAAUUAGUUAAGUCAAACAAAGUUCUAACUCUGAAAAGCGGAUAGAAGUCAUGAAGAAAGAGAUGAAAUCAAUGAAAGACAAUUGUGUUUGGGACCUAGUAGAGUUGCCUGAAGGUAUAAAACCGAUUGGUUGUAAAUGGAUUUUUAAAACCAAACGGGAUUCAAAAGGUAACAUUGCUAGGUAUAAGGCACGCCUAGUCGCAAAAGGUUUCACUCAAAAGGAAGGCAUUGAUUAUAAGGAGACCUUUUCACCAAUUUCGUCAAAGGACUCUUUUAGAAUCAUCAUGGCACUUGUAGCUCAUUAUGUUUUAGAGCUACAUCAAAUGGACGUUAAAACUGCGUUUCUUAAUGGUAACAUUGAUGAAACAAUAUACAUGGUGCAACCGGAGAACUCUGAGUCUAAUGAUUCAAAGCAACUUGUAUGCAGAUUAAAAAGGUUCAUAUAUGGUUUAAAGCAAGCAUCCUGACAGUGGUACCGAAAGUUUGAUCAGGUGAUCACUUCAUUUGGUUUUAAAGAGAACACCGUUGAUCAAUGAAUAUACCUCAAGUUUAGUGGGAGCAAAUUUAUUAUCUUGGUGCUAUAUGUUGAUGAUAUUCUACUUGCAAGUAGUGAUGUGGGACUUUUGCAUGAAACCAAGCGAUUUCUAUCUAGUAAAUUUGAUAUGAAAGAUCUUGGUGGUGCAUCUUUUGUGCUGGGUAUACAGAUCUAUAGGGAUCAUUCAAGAGGUAUACUUGGGUUAUCACAAAAGGCCUACAUUGAUAAAAUGUUGAGUAGAUUUGGCAUGAGCAAUUGUGCACCAGGAAACACGCAUGUGGCAAAAAGCGAUAAAUUUAGUUUGCACCAAUGUCCGAAAAAUGAACUUGAGAAGAAGGAUAUGGAGAGGUUUCCCUAUGCCUCGGCCAUUAGAAGUCUCAUGUAUGCACAAGUUUGUACGCGUCCGGAUAUUGUGUACAUUGUUGGAAUGUUAAGCAGAUAUUUGAGUAACCCAGGUAUGGAUCACUAUAAAAAGGCAAAACGGGUUAUGCGGUAUUUACAAAGGACUAAAGACUAUAUACUCACAUACCAUAGAUCCAGUCAUUUGGAGAUCGUCGGAUAUUCGAACUCCAAUUUCAUAGGAUGUCUUGACAGUAGGAGAUCCACUUCAGGAUACGUCUUCAUGCUGGCUGGAGGAGCAGUUUCAUGGAAAAGUGUUAAACAAACACUUAUUGCUUCUUCCACCAUGGAGGCAGAAUUCAUAGCUUGCUACAAGGCAUCAAACCAUGGGAUAUGGCUACGGAAUUUUAUCACUCAAUUGCGAAUUAUUGAUGGGAUUGAGAAACCAUUGAGAAUCAAUUGUGAUAAUAAGGCCGCAAAAUUGUAUUCUAAGAACAACCGAAGUCCAUCAAAGUCCAAACACAUUGAAAUCAAGUUCUUGGUUGUGAAAGAAAGAGUUCAGAGUCUUCAAGUAUCGAUUGAACACAUAAGCACAAACUCCAUGACUGCGGAUCCGCUCACUAAGGGUUUCCCACCCAAAGUAUAUCAUGAGCAUGUCACACAUAUGGGUGUUGUACACAUUGAUGAUGUGCCAAUAUAGUGGGAGUUUGUAUUUAGAUUUUGUGUUUGUUUUCUUGAUGUGAUAUCAUGUUAUGUUAUCUAUACAGACCUUGGUUUUUAAAGACUAUUGUAUUUGAAUACUCUGAAUUGAAAUGAUGACUUUUAGAAGCAGUUUAGCAUCAAGUGUUGAAAGUGGAAUUUGACUAAUUUUUAGUCAUAAAGUGGGACCAAUUGGAAAUAGACAUAUUAGAGAUCACAUUCUAAGCAACAUAAUCUCCAUUCUCAAGUUCUAAAUCCAUCCAAAUACGUACUUCAUGGCAAAACUGUAACACCCCAAAAUAAACUUUAGGGGCAAAAUAGUAAAUUAUAAAUUAAUUAAUUAAUUAAUUAAACUCAUUAAAGAUAAAAAUCCCUUUUACAAUUAAUAAUCUUUGGUGUAAAUUAGAUUUUUCUCUUGUCUUCUUUAUUCAGAAAACUCUAUUAACCAAAAAUUAGUGAAUUGGAAAAUGUAGGGCUCAAGGUUUGAAGGUCUAGAGUUUGAAGUUCAGAUUUUUCCAAGUAAGAUUCUAACCCUAGAUUAAUAUAUUAUAUUUGUUAAUUAGUUUUGAAUACAUUAGAUAUUCUUUAGAAAAUUUUAAUUUAGAUUAGUGCUAGUUUAGUUAAUUUAUUUUAAGAUCAAAAAAUUGAAAUUAUGAAUAUAAGUUGUUUCAUUUAUGAAAAUAGGGAAAUUUGAAAAAAAUUUUAUAUGAAUAGAUCUAAACAAUGAAAUUGUAAAAAUUAAAUGAGUAAAUAAAUAUAUGAUUAUAUAUGGCUUAAGGGAUUGGAAAAUAAUAAUAAGAAGAAUUGCAUGUUUCUGGAUUUUGGAUUUGAGGCAAUGUGGUGGGGUGACAAAAAAAAUAUGAUAUCUAAUUGUGAAAAGAGUGGUAGUGGAAUAAAUUAAAAUAAUAAUAAUGAGUAGAGUUGGUGGGGUUGUUGGUUAAAAGUACAUGAGAUAUUUUGUUAAAUAAGAGGGAACAUUGGGAUUAAUAAGAAUAAUGAUAAUAAUGAUAUUAAUAAUAAUAAGAAGAAGAAGAAUAAUAAUAAUAAGAAAAAUUGUGUGAUUUGGAUGUUUGUGAGUGAUGUACAAUAGGGGUGUUUUUGGAUAUUGCAAGGUAUCGAAAAAUAUAGUAAUAAUAAUAAUAAUAAUAAUAAUAAUAAUAAUGAUAGUUUUUAAUAAAAGUUUAAAUUUAGUUUAAGUAUACAAAAUAAAUAAAUGGUUAGAAUAAGAUUUGGAAGAAAUAUGAGUUUAUAAAAAAUUUGGAAAUUCAUUAAAUUAUAUUAUUAUUGUUUAAGAAGUUGAAACUAAUAUUGGGUAGUAAUAAUAUUAGAAUAAGAAAUUAAUUAAGAUCCCUAAUGCUAAAUAAAAUAUUUUUAGGAUUGUCAAAUUUUUACCUUUAGAUAAUUGUGUAUGAUAUUAUGUUAGGUGAAGAGUAAAUUCAUCAAGCUAAAUACUUCAAGUUUUUGAGCACUUCUUCAAGGUAAGGGAAAUUAAUGCAGAUUUUUAUAAAUAAUAAUAAUAAUUUUCUUUUUAUAUUGUAUUUUGAAAUGUGUAAAAAUAUUAUUUUUAUCUUUUCGCAUGGAUCAAAUAUGCGUUUUGUGUGGAAAGUAUAUUUGAGAAUUUUCUUUGUUUAUGAAAAAUAAAAAAUUGAGGAGAUAUGAUAUUUUGUUGAGUAAGUUUGACUUAAUGAAAUAAAGUGUUUGACUAUGGAUUAUAUGACCCUAGUCAAUGAGUUAUAUUGUUGAUAUUUUCGGCCUUUGUCAACGAUUUAUAAUAGUUGAUAUUAUAUGGCCCUAGUCAACGAGUUAUAAUAGUUGACCUUAUGACCCUAAUCAACGGGUUAUAAUUGUUGGCUUUUGGUUAUGUUCAUCUUAAAUGGAACAAAUUUGAAACUAGUCACUCAUUUGUAAAGUCUCACCUAAUUGGGCACCAUUUGUUAUUUGAUAAUCAGAGUAAAGAUAUUUUGAAUGUAUUUUAUUUGGUUUUGAUGAGAAAUUGUUUUGAAAUGGAUAUGAGAAAGUUUUGUUGAAAAGUUUGAAUGUAUUAGUAUUUUGAACUUAAAAGUUUUUAUGAAAAUAAGUAUAUGUUAUACAUCCUAUUUGCAAGUAUGAUUGAAAAUGUUUGAUCCAUGAAAUUGUAUUAAUGUUCCUUAUCGGGCUUUGAGUUCCCCUUUUAUUGAUAAUCUUUCAAGUAACCUCAGUUCGGGCGAAGAGUGGCCGUUAUGAGAGAAAUUUGGUUUUAUUAGGACAACUCUUUUUAUCUUGGACAUUGUUGAAAUGUUAAAACUUAAUUCUUGUUUCAAUUAUUUUGAGUUUAGAGUUACUUAGACAAUAACACUUUGGUUGAUGUAUUAGUUUUUAAAAAAAUUUGAUACUUGGAGAUUUUAAAAUUUUGUCCUAGAACAGGAAUUUGAUAAUUGGUAAAUUUCCAGUUACAAUACAGAUGUUUGUGUUGUUUCCACUUUGAGCCUUUAGGCUUGAGAUGUGAAAUGACUGUCAUGCCCUUGGAGUGGGUUUUGGGACAUGAUAGAGUGGUAUCAGAGCACUAGGUUAUGAUCUUGUUGAGAACUUGUUUUAGUUUACUUUUGGGAUAGAUGAGUGACGCAUUAGUUUAAGUUUCAGUUUCAUCUUCUAUAAAUUCAUAUUUUUCCUUAUGAAUCUAAAUUGCCUAAUUGGUUUUUUAGUGACUAAUUUAAUUAUACCAAUGUUUAAUAGGACAACAUGGCACCAAUAAGAACAACAUCUUCCCAAAACAGUCAGGCUAAUAAUGAUGUACCUCUUCCAUUUGAGGGUUUACCUCCCAUGAAUGUAGAAAAGCUUUAUAGGUAUCUUGAGACUUUAGCUGGUUUGGCUAAGCUUCAGGCUAGAGCUAUUGAGACUCAAGCUCUUGGACAACACUCAUCUUCUAAAGGUAGCUCAUUUGAUGACUUUAAUAAGUUAGGUCUUCCUUAAUUUUCUAGUACUUCAGACCCAAUGGAAGUAGAAGCUUGGAUUCUUAAGAUAGAGAAAUUCUUUAAUGUUAUAGAUUGCUCUGAGGAGCAAAAAGCCUCUUAUGCAGCAUUUAUGUUAGAUAAAAAAACAAAUCAUUGGUGGCGUAUGACCAAAAGGCUUUUAGAGGAUUAGGGACCUAUAGUUUGGAGACAAUUUAAGGAGGCAUUUUACAAAAACUACUUCCCUGACAUUGUUAGAUGACAAAAAGUAGGAGAGUUUGUUCGUUUGGAACAGGAGGAUAUGACGGUGGACCAGUAUGAGUCUAAAUUUACAGAGUUGUUACGUUUUGAUCCACAAUUAAUUGCUAUAGAGGAGGAAAAGACAUUAAAGUUUCAGGAUGGAUUGAAGCCUUAUCUAAAGAACAAAAUAUAUAUUUUGAAGCUUAAUGCCUAUUAAAAGGUUGUAGAUAAAGCCCUUAUAGCAGAAAAUGAUAAUAAGGAGCUUUAACAAUACAAAAAACAACAAAGGAAGAGGAGUAGGAGUGAUGGUGCCCAUGAGAACCAAGAACCAAAAAGGUUCGAUUCAAUUGAGAAUCAGAAUAAAGGGGAAACAAUGCAAAAUUCAUAUUUGACUUGUUCUAUUUGUGGUAAGAAACAUUGGGGUAAGUCUUGCUAUAAAGAGUAUGGAGCUUACUUUGGUUGUGGAAAGCAUGGACAUAUGAUUCAGGAUUGCCCAAAGAAUAAGAAGUUUAUGAUUGGGAAGCCUAAGGAAGAGAAUAAAAAUUAUAAACAGAAACCCAAAGUCCAAGGGCGAAUGUUUGUUAUAACUAAUCAAGAUGCUCAAGUCACUUCUGAUGUGGCGACAUGUACUAUUUGAAUUUGCAAUUGGGAAAGUUGUGUUUGCAACUACCUAUUUGAAAGCAUUAUAGAUAUCAAACUGGAAGAAGUUGGAAUAUGAGAUUUGACCGUGAAAUGGCAAAAUAUUAUCUUUCUCAUGCACUCUUUUUCUAACUCCAUUUUAUGUUCCUAGAUUGCCCCUCCAUGUUUCCAUGUCAGCUGCAACCCUAUCUCCAUAUUAGCAGAAAACCCUCCAUGUCACAUAAGAGACUUGAAAUUUAUAAAACAGAAAAAUCAAACCUAUGAAAAAUCACCUGACCCGAGACCCAUGUAAAAUUUUUAAAACCUUUAUUCUCUUUGAUUUGGGAGCUUCUCUCUCUCUCUCUCUCUUGGCUUCAUCACCCACACAAUCCCGAGACCUAUGUAAAAUUUCCUAAAAAUGGUCUCAAAACUCCAACCUGUGUGUUUCUCUCUUGUCCACAUAAAAGUGCAACGAAAUAGAGCAUUCCAUCCUAAGAAUGUCCAGUUAAAAGAAGACUUCAAGAGGCACAUCCAUGAUUAUGAAUCUACUACAGCAGCGCAUACCAGAAUAGAAAGAUGGAAUCCAAAAUAUAUGGUUCGUGAACAAGAUAUCUCUUCCUGUCAUUAAGUGGCAUUUUUCCCUAACCCCAAACUGAAAUAUGAAGGUAAAUUAUUUUCAUUUAUUGUUCUUUAGUUCAUUAAUUUGAUAUAGAGCACAUCAACAAUUUUGGAGUAGUUGGUGGACUUGAACUUUUGUGUUGGGUUAUGGGAACCAUAUUAUUCCCAAAUAACCAUAUGACCCACAAGUCGUAUUGAAUCCAGAUGGAACUUACAACAUAUCUGGUUAUAAGUCACAUUGUUAUUUUGCGGAUUGUACCUUAGGUACUACCUUAAUAGCCCUUAGGUACUACCUUAAUCUACCUUAGGUACUACCUUAAGGGACCUUAGGUACUACCUUAGUUAAAGAUGGGUUCUACCUAUCCCAAGCUCAAACCUUCCUUUGUGACCCUUAGACCAUGCCAUUAUGUGAUUCUUUUGUGUGGGCAAGUGGUCCACCUUUGGUUGUUUGCAGACUAUAACUUAAGUACUACCUUAAUAGCCCUUAGGUACUACCUUAGUUAAAGAUGGGUUCUACCUAUCCCAAGCCUCGGACCUUCCUUUGUGACCCUUAGACCAUGCCAUUAUGUGAUUCUUUUGUGUGGUCAAGUGGUUCACCUUUGGUUUUUUUAGGACUGUACCUUAGAUAUUACGUUAAUAGCCCUUAGGUACUACCUUACUCUACCUUAGGUACUACCUUAAGAGAUCUUAGGUACUACCUUAGUUAAAGUUGGGUUCUGUCUAUUUCAAGCCUCGAACCUUCCUUUGUGAUCCUUAGACCAUGCCAUUAUGUGAUUCUCUUGUGUGGACAAGUGGUUCACAUUUGGUUCUUAGAGGACUGUACCUUAUGUACUACCUUAAUAGCCCUUAGGUAUUACGUUAAUCUACCUUAGGUACGACCUUAAGUGACCUUAGGUACUAUCUUAGUUAAAGUUGGGUUCUACCUAUCCCAAGCCUUGGACCUUCAAUCCCGGACAUUACUUGUUAUAUUUUAAAAUUUGUAGUUUAUCAUUACUAAUACUUUGUAUUUUAAAAUAUGAUAUUAUUUUAAAUUGCAUAUGUUUUUUUUUUUUUAGAAUUUCUCUAAAACAUAUUAUUAAGUAAAUAAAUUUUAAAUCAAAUUAUUAAUUUUUAAAAAUAAUUUGAAACUCAAAAAUCAAUUUAGGGUACUUUUUUAUUUGAAUAACAUAGAAAAUCAUGGAAUUCAACAAAAUAAUAUCAAAAAAAUCAUAAAUUAAAAUUCAUUUUGAAUGACUUCACUAGUUUCUUCUUUAUAUAUAAUUAUAUUUUGGUAAAUUUUUUUAUUUGGCAAAUAAACUCUAAAUCAAGCAAGACUUUGUGCAUUGGAUUCUUUAACGGAUCUAGUAAUUUUUAAAAAUAAGUUAAGCUCAAAUAGUGAUCAAAUUAAUAUGAACAAAAAUUAAUAACUUUAUUGUUUAUUUUCUAUAUAAAAUCAUUUUUUUUAAAUUUUGUUUACUAAAAAAAAUAAACUUCAAAUUAAAUAAAAUUUAAUGCAUUGGAUUUAUUAACAAGUCUAAGUAAUUUUAAAAAAUAAUUUAAAAAUCAAAUAGUGAACCAAUUAAUACCAUAAAUUUUUGGAUAUAAAUUGAUCUCUUCUAUUAUUUAUUUAUUAACAUAGUUAUAUUUUUAUAAUUUCUUUCACUACAAAAAUAAACUUCAAAUCAAACAAUAUUUUGUGCUGAAUUUAUUUAUUUUAAAUUUAUUUUAAAUAAUACUAUUAACCAUUCUUAUUUUUAAAAUAUUAUUAUUAAUUUUCAAUAAAAAAAUAUUAUUUUACAAAGAUGUCAAUAUCCAUAUCUCUAUAAUAAAGAGCAAAAUAGUAUAAUAAAUUCAUUUUAAAUAAUAUUAUUAAUAAUUAUUAUUUUUAAAACAUUGUUAUUAAUUUUUAACAAAAAAAAAAAAUCAAUUAUGCUUUUACAUAGAUGUCAAUAUCCAUAUUUCCAUAAUAAAGGGUAAAAUGGUAUAACUUUAAUAAAAAAAUUAUAAUUUUGUGAUUGUAAUAUAAUAUUACCAUUCCUAUUUUACUAAAGACUAUUUAUUGUUUAAUUACAAAACUAAUUUUAUUUUCAAUAAGAAUUUUAUUAAAUUUAACUAAUAUUACAUAUUGAAUUUUUAUUAAAAUUUAAUUAAUAUUAUAUAAAUUUAAUUUACAAUGUUUUUACAAAAUCAAAAUAAAAAAUAAUGCAUCCAAAUAAGUUUUUUUUUAUCUUUGAAUUUAAAAAUAAAUAAAAAAUAACUUACCAAAUACCCCUAUUUUUAUGAAAUACUAAAAAAUUAUAUCUAUCUAUCUAUCUGUCUAUAUAUAUAUAUAUAUAUAUAUAUAGUUUUUUAACUUCAAACAAUUUUUUCAAAAAUAUAAUAAAAUAUGACCUUAUAUUCUAUUCAAACUUAAACGUUAAAUAGUAAUUCUCUUUUUGUCUGCGAGCUACUAAAUAUUUAUAAAAACUAUCAUCGGAAUAAUAUUUAGAGUGUCUUUGAAAGUAUUUUCUAUAAGGUUAUUGUGGAUCUCGUAUUUUGCACGAUACGUUAUUACUCGAUGAUGUGACACUUUUUAAUUUAUUUGGUGAAAAUUUGAUAUUUUUUUAAAAGGACUUGGAGUCACCACUUAUUUUUGUUUUAUUUUUUUAAGGGAAAAAAAUAAGAAAUAAAAACCCUAAGUGUGACUCCUAAAGCUAUGAAAAACCGAGUCUGAGUCCAAGGGUCAAGUUACUUAUUGAGAAGGUACAGUGGUGAGCCGUAGCAUCCCUCUAAGCCCAUAUACGUACGGCCUCUACUAAACGAAUUAAGGGAAUUGUGACAAUUAAUUAAUUAAUUAUGAAUACUAAGAAAAAUAAUCAUGCAAAUGAGUAUGUACAAGUCAUGGUGAAAAUCAUUAUACAUAAAAAUAAUGAUGAAAUAUAAUUACAAGAAUACACAAAAUAAAUAACAAGAGAAUUAUGCAAAAUGAUUUAUUGAACUAAAAAAUAUUUCAAAAGAAUCAGUUUUCAAGAAAUUUAAAAACAAUUUUCAAUUAAUAAUUUCAAUUUAUUUAUUUACAAAAAAAGGUCAAUUUAUUUUCUCAACUUCAUUCGUAUUCAAUUUUCAAAAAAGUUAUUUACACUUAUUAUAUCAAAAGAAUUUAUUACAAAAUUUCAAUUUGGCAACAAAAAUUAUUUUACUUGCUUUUACAAAAAAUGAAUGAAUUUUUGUAAUUUUAUUUACAAAAGUAUUUCAAUUUGUUUUCAUUUAAGAAAAGUGAUUUAUACAUAUUAUUUAAAAAGACAUGACUUUAUUUGCAAAAGGAAUUUUAAGUGAAAAGAAAAAAAAAAUUUAAAUCAUCAAUUUCUAAAAAAAUACUUUUAAUCCCAUUUUAAUUAAGGAAAAAGAAUUCAUUUUUAAAAAAAAAAAAAAAAAAAUUGGACAAUUUUAUUAAAAAUUAAAUUUUGGGACACCUUUAUUUACAAAACAAUUUUUAAACAAUUUUUAUUAAACAAAGAAAUUUUUGGACAAUUUUAUUAAAAACAAUUUUUCAAAUUCUAUUAAAAAAAAUUCUUUUGGAUUUUUCUAAAUACAUUUUUCUGAAUUUUUAUUAAUAAAAAAACUUUCUUUUAUUAAAAAUAAUAUUUUAAAAUUAUUAUUUUAUUAAAACAUAUUUACUAAAUUCUUCCUCUUAUUUAAACAAAAUUUAUAGUUUGUUCGAUAUUCAGUUUUGUACAUACUAAAUAAAUAUAUACAAAUGAAUAUUUAUAAGAACUAAUAAAAAUAAAACCAAAUAAAAGUGAGAAAUAAAAUAUGUACCCAAAUAAACUUACAACAAACUCAACGUCUUCCUACAACUUUUCGAGUCUCACUUUCUUCCAUGAAAUUUCGUGUUCCAUAUGUCAUAAAUUCGUACUCGGACAACAAUAUUACAGAAUGGGUCCAUACAAAAACAAAAACAUCUCAAAUGUAAAUAUCUAAAAAUGUAUAAAAUUCAUAAUAGAUAUUCAAGCCUAAAUUCAAAUUUCAAAUUAGUUCAAUAAAUUUCAUCAAUUAAAAGUGGGCUCAAAUUAGCAAAUAUAACCCAACAAAAAUAUUUCACAUGUCAUAAGCCCUAAUCUAAAAUUUUCAAAUUAAUAGCCAAAAUAUAAGCUCAAUUAAUCAAACCCAAAACAUGAUAAAUUAAAAUAAAUCUCAUUAGGCCUAAACUUAAUAUCUCAUAAUCCAAGCCCAAUUUAAUAUGCAAACCUACAUCCAAAAUAUAUCACAAUAAUAUAUCAAAUCUAAAUUAAAUAAUUCAAAUGAGUACAACUAUAUCAAUUAUCAACUAAUCUAACCAAAAAUAGCAAAUUCCAAAUUAAUUGACCAACAAUAAAUUAACCCAAAAUUCAUAUUAAUUUACCAACAACAAAUUAACCCAAAUUUCAUAUUAAUUCAACAAUCCAAAUUUCAUAAACAACAAUUACUAUUAAAAUAAAAGGAAAAUAAUAAUAAUAAUAAUAAUAAUAAUAAUAAUAAUAGAAAAUAAGUGGGAUGGGAAAGUGAGGGAAUGAGAGAAAAUGGGAGGGGGUCGUCGACGGCGACUAGCCGGUGAUCUACCGAUAGUGAGGGUUGAUGGGUUUUUGGGAAGCAAAAAUGAAAUAAAAAUAAUAAUGAUAAUAAUAAAAAUGAUAAAUAAAUAUAAAAAAAUGGGAGGAAUAAAAAUGAAGAAAAUGAGGACGAAAGGGUGCCGACAUCAGACCACCGGCAGUGAUGAUGGAGUCGGGUGUGGAUGUGGGCAUUGGGAUGAGCCGUAGGAGAAAAUAAAAUGGAAAAAAAAUGGGCGCCGGUCAUCCAUGUGUGUUGUGGGGAAAGAAAAAAAAUGAAAAAAUGAAGUGGGGAAAUGAGGGAACACGAUUGGGAAUCGGAGUUGGGGUGUGGUCAGGGAGAAAAAAUCCAUAAAUGGGGAGAAUGGAGGUCUAGGUAAGGUCAUCCAACUGCCAGCCCUAAGAGAGGGAGAAGAAAUGGAAGGGCUAAAUGGGAAGCCAAGAAAGUGGGUAGGAAAAAGAGAAAUAAAAAAAAAUAAAAGAGAAUGAUGGAAGAAAUGUGAGGGGGGGCAUGUCCCCAUGACGUGGGAGGGAUGAGGGUAGGUGAGAGUAACUAGGGAAGAGAAAGAGGAAGAGAGAGAAAAGAGAGAAAAUAAAAAAAUAAAUAAAAUAUAAAUAUAAUAUAAUAAUAAAAAUAAAAAAUACAAGUAAAACAAUUUACAAAAUAAUAAAAAUUAAGAAUUAAAGGGUGAGUGGGUCAAAAAUAUCACAUAUAAUCAGGAUUUAAAAUUUAAGUACAAAAUUGGACUCGAAAUUAACGUAAAAAUAAAAUUUGGACAAAUUUUGGGGUCUACAGCUAUGUUUGGUUUAAAAGAUAUGAUACCAUAAGAUAUAUACAUAUAUUAUAAUAUCAUAUGUCAUUGGAUUGAAAAUACAUAUCCUGUGGUAUGAUUUCCAAUGAGAUAUGUAUUAUUGGAUGUACAUAUUCUAUAAACAUGAUAUUUAAAUGUAGCAUAUGAAAUGAAAUAUAUUAUGUUUAUAUUUAAUAUGUAAAAUGGAUUAAAAAAAAAAUAUCAAAUAUAUAUUAUUUUUAAUUGUUUAAAAUAAAAAUUAUAUCACAUUCUAAUAUUUUAUAUUUUAAAAAUUAAAUUUAUGUUAUUCAAUAUAUCAAAAUAAUUUAUAUAUCAUAUAUUAAUAUUAUUUUAUAAUAUUUUUUAUACAAAUUUCUGUAGUAUUUCUUUUUCAAUCAUAAAUUUAAUUUAUAAUAAAAAAAUUAUUUUACAAAAUAAGUAUAUAAAAAAAAAUUAUGAUACAUGAGAUAUGCAUAUCUCAUAUUAUAGUAUAAGAGUAACAUAUCAUAUGUAGAAGGGACAUACUUGCCAUGAUUAGGCUUCAAUUGAGGUUGAAUUUGGAAUGCCUAUGCUCAGAACAACUGCUAUGAUAAUGCAAAAGAGACAUUGAAACAACAUUUUAUGAUAACAUUUCAUAUUAACACAACCAAAUUUAAAAGAUUCCAAGGAAAAACAAAGAAUAAAAUGUUUUGAAAUAACAUUAGUUAUUCUAUCAUCUCCUGAGAUUGGUCUCCUAAAAGCUGAGUACCAAAGUACAGUGCCACUCUGACCAACCAACUCUAAAACCAGUAUUACACUACACACCAUAUUUCCCAUCAAUCUCUCAAUCUCUUCACUACACUACAAUACAAGCCAGUGGGUGAUUUGAAACCAUAUAGAAAAGUGUUAUCAGGAGAAAUUCUAUUCUAGCUAACAUCUUUUCAAUAUUUUGGAGCACAAAAAACAGAAAUUUGAAAUUGAAGACUUCAUAUGUUUUCCAUACUUGGUGAGACUUUUAAGGAAAGAAGUAGAUCUUAAUGAAGAGUGCCAGACCUAUUUGCAAAACAAAUGAAGCAACAAUCACCAGACUUAUGUUGUUACCCUGUAUGUAGGACCUCAGGUUCAAGGCAACAAAGCAAGCUGAUGCGCCACCUACAAGGACUGUGACGAGCCACCGCAGAAACUCAAUCGGAAUAACUAAUAGGACCUGAAAAUGUUCCAGGAGAACAAAUUAGAUGUUCACAAGACUACUACUUAGAAACCCAGAAACUGAAAAUUACACUAUUAAGGUUCUGCAGCAAUGAAAACCCCUAUGUGUUAAUACUUUAAAGACAACAACAGAAUAAACUGGCACUGGAGGUCCAUAGUUUGGAUGAUGCACCACCAACUAUUAACCUAAAUGCUUGCUUGUUAUGUAAUGUAUCUUUUAUUAAGUAAAACUUAAAAGAUACAUUAUGUAACAAUCUUGCUUUAACUCUAGUUAUUUCCCCUACUAUAUAAUGUUUUUAUAAUUGUACAUAUAUUUGACUAAUAUUGCUUUAUUGUAUGUAGUGCAUUUCUAUUAUUUAACAUAUAUUUGGACUUCUAUAUUAAAACAUAUAUUUGACUCAUAAUAAACUUGAUGCAUACAAAAAUACAUACAAACAUAUAUACUUAUGUGGAUGUAUACACGGUGUACAUGCAGGUAUAUACAUACAUAUACAUGCAUACAAAUAUACAUACGUAUAUCAGAAUCUAUUAGACAAAAGAGAUAGAUAACAAAGGACAAAAUUCCUCCAAAAGAAGGAAACAUACACAAGUAUAUUAUAAAAGGAAAACCUUUGGCUUCCCAGCCUUAAGGAAAAAUCCCUAAACUUCAGAGGGGCAUGUGAUCAUCACAUAUGAUGCACCAAAAAAAAAACUCAAAGAAGAAUUUUAUAGACAUAGUGAUAUUUGCAAAGCAAAAUGGAGCAUAAUGUUCCAAAUUUUCCAAUUUAUUUUUUAGCAGAGACACUACAAGAAGAUACGUCACCCUUUCUACAACUAUCACUAAAGUGCCAUCCUAUUGACUAAGACUAAUCAGCUUGGCUCAAUUUUAUCCAACAACCCCCCUAAACAAGAUGUCUUAAGGAUACAGUUGGACCACAAGGCCAUCGAUAAUGUCAGUGAUCAAGAAAGAAACAUAUAAGCACCGUAUUUUUGCACAUAAAGAAUAUUUGAGAUGAGAGAGUGGGCAAGUAUAGGAUCCAAUGAUAAAUUUGACUGCGUGAAAGAGAGACUAAUAAUAACCUAAAUAUCCAAGCUUAUCAAGAGUAAUAUACUUGAGAAAGAUAAUUUGCCAAUAUAGAAUGAGGUCCAACUACUGAUUAUUGGGGAAAGGUUGAUGUUUUAUUUUAUAGAAGAUGGUGUUUCAUACCUCAACAUCAAGAUGAAUUCAUUGAUAUCCAUUGGUUAUACUCAUCCAUCCUUAUUAUAAAGAAGCUGGAACUUGGGGAGUCGCCUCCACCAUAUGCCUUCACAUUUAUAGGUAAAGAAAACUUGCUUACAAUCAAUCUCAAAUAUCCAACAUUAAAAAAAAAAAAUAACUAAGAAGAACCAUGAUUGCUUCAUAUUGAUGCACACAUUCGCAACUUCAGAUGUAUCAAUAGCACUAUUAGUGUUCCUUAAGCACAUUUUUAGAUUAUUCUGUUGCAUGUAAGUAACACCUCUUAUAGGCCUGAAAUCAACAAUGAAGAUACUAUAAGAUGAUGAAGCAUUUUACUCCACCUAGAAAUGACUUUAAAAUGUAGACAUCUCCAUGAAAAGAUCCUUAGUUUGGAAUUUAGCUUCCAUCGUAAAUGUAAAGCUCUGUCUAGCAAUGGGCUAUGUGGUGAAGCAAUCAUAAGUCUGAGCAAAGGGUGUUGGUCAAAUAGUAGAAAAGGCGAGCAUAGGAGCUACUUAAUAGUAGAGAUGCCAAAGGUCAAUUAGACAUUUAACUGAUUGAGCCAACCUUUAAAAAAAGUUGACAUACAAAAAUUAAUGAACUAUCGAUGUACAUGUGAAAAUUUGUUGAGAUUAUAAUGUUGAAGUGUAUGUAUUUCAAAUCCAAUGUUUUUACCAUAUGACUGAAAAGUAGGAAACAAAGUUUACUUCUAGUAAUUGAAUUAAGUUCAUGCUAAAAUGAGAUAAAGGAAAAUGUGAGAAAAAUUAUUUCAUCAUUUGCUCAAGUAGCCCCUGUCAAAGUAGGACCUCUUUCAUUUUUUUCUCACUUUUGAAAUAUUGAAGAGCCUGAGCCUAAGGGUUGAACCCUACUAGAGAAGAAGUACAUAAAGAGCCACCUGACAUGGGCUAAAAUUAAAAUAAAAAGACAGAACACAAAAGGAAUAUGCAUGCAGAAAAUAGUAUCACCAUUGGCACUUGACUCAUAGCACUGAAUUCAGGAAAUCCAUGAAAGAUACCAUUUCUUCCCCAUGGGUAUCUAAAAAGCAUAAAUACCAAGCUUUAAGGAACACGUCACUAAGUUUCAGCACAGGGAGCUCUACAUAAAAAAGGUUCUCAUGUUCCUUCUUCCAAAUACACCAAGAACACAAAGUGGAGCAGAUAUCCAAAGGCUCCCUCUUUAUAUGUCUAUGCACACACACACACAAACAUAAUAACAUUACUUCUUUUCUUUCCCACAGAAAUUCCUCUCUAAAACCAUAGAAAGCUCUUUAUUCGAUCAAGGCAGAACACAAAAAACACAAGACAAGGAAAAAACUAGAGACUAAAAAGGUGGUCUACCAUACAACGUAGAAGGAUAUAGUUCACGAAGUCCUCAUCCUCAUCCUUUUGCAUAAGCAACACCAAUUAACAAUAGCACAACCCCUAUGCCCCCACACAAAUGCCACUUUGUCAAAUGGGAGAGCCUGCUAACCUCAACUCCACUCCACAUAUAACCCUUUCAAACUACAGGUAAACCUAAGUUAUAGGCAUGUAACACUUUCAUUAACCUUCCAAAUCAAUUAAUUUUGUCAAAUUCAAACAGCAAGUACCUAACAGGUUCUCAAAUCAACCUUUUUUUCUUUAAUAUAUUUUCAUUUACACAAAUCUGAUUGUUAUAAACAAAAAAAAUACAAUGAUACUCCUAAGCACAAUCAAAUUGGAAACUUAUGCAUCUUAGUAAUUUUUUUAAUUGCAUUUCCACAUAGCUAAUGAAUCAAGAAAAUAAAAUAUGUUCCUUGUUAACAGUAAUACUGGUAAUUGGAAAAUAGUGCCACAAAAAUGGAAAUCACAAUUCCCAUCAAAUUCACAACUGGAAAGAACAUCAUAAGCUAAAAUAAGAAACAAAUAAAUAUUAUUUAUCUUCAAAAUCAUUCAUUUCUUCAUCAGUUUGUAUUCACUUUCUCACAGGAAUCAUAUACAACCCCCAUCUCCACUUCUUAUCCAAUAAAUAGAAGGUUUAAAAGGACAAGUAUAUGAUGAAAUAGGAAUUGAAUUUGAAUCAUCAUUAAAAUUUAAAAAGAACAAAUAACAAACAAAGACAAAAUUUAAAACCUAAGAAGAUCUUUUGGAUUUUGGAUUGAUUCGCAUCAUGUAAACAAACAAAAGAAACAAAUAGAAAAUAAAGUCAUGACAAAUAAUUGCAAGCUCGUAUUACCCAAAUCAAACCCUGUUACCCUGACCCUUCUCUGUACAUCAAAAUCCUACUUCACGAUUUGAUUUCACACCAAACUCGUAUGGAUAUGAACAGAAACAAAAAGAGAAUCCAUAUCAACAUAUUCCCUGAAACAGAAACAAAAAAAAAUAAGCAAAAAAAAUUGAAAAAAUAAAUCCAAAAAAACAAAAAGGAAAACUGGGUGGCUUUAAAUUCAGAAAGAAACUGAUUUAAAAAGAGGUGGGUCCAUUUGGAAAUUUCUUUAACCAAAACAAAUUGUGUCUCAUCUUCAUUCAUGCGAAAAUUAAUCAAAAUACAACAAACCCCAAAAUAUAACACCUUUAGCCCCAAUAUUUUCUCAAUAGCCAAAUGAAUCCUUAAAUGGAAAACUCACCUAUGAUUGAUUAAUCCACAACAAGAGGAAGCUCCAUUUCGGUUUCCAAAAACCUUAAAAAAAUUCAACCUUUGGUGAAUAAAUAUGAAGAUAUGCCUUAACUUUGGCUUCGUUGAAGGUUUUCGAAAGAUGCCUAUCGGGUUUGGGUGGUCAACUCGUGAAAAGAGACACAAUAGGGUUAGGCCAAAAUCAGACGAAGAUGGCUUUGGGAAGAUGGGUAUCCAUCGUCUAGUCAGGACGUCAAUAAACAGAUCAGUUGCCUACCUUCGUGUAUCAAACGAGCUAUGAAAAUGGGAAUUUUUUUAGAUCGAGUCAGGGCAAAAUGAGAGGAAGUGACAGAAAGAGUUUUGCAACUUUCAAAUGUUUAUCAGGUCGGGUGUUUUGUGGGUUUCAGAUUUGACAACUUCAAGUUUCAAAUUUUGGUGUUUAUUAAAUUACGCACCUACCUGCUGACAUGGACAUUGGUGACUAUUGACAGGGAAACAUUAAAGGGCAAUUUUGGAAAUGCAAACCUAAACAGUAUAUAGUGCAUGAGAAAUAUAAUAUUUUUCCCAUUAAUAGGCACAUCUCAUAUUUCAUUUAUGUGGGUUUCCAAAACCAUAUAUCUUCCUAGUAGCAGCCUACAAACACAACUUUCCCUUUGCAAUUUAUUGUUAGAGCCUUGAUUGAUCUAAACUCAACAUAAUCUAUGUUUCAAUAUCUUUUGUUGGUUUGUUGGGUUUGCUUGUUGAUAGCCUAAACUUUGAUUUGAUUGUUGUUUUUCCUAUGGGAUAUUCUAUUGUGGAUAAUAUUAUGUUUAGAGGUUAUCUUAUGAUGACUAGUUAUAUGGAGAUGUUAGUGGACUUAAUACUUCUUGACAUUAUGAUUUUGAUGUGAUUUUGGAGAUGGAUUAGUUAGUUUCCUUCUAUGUCUAUAUUAAUUAUUUUGGUAAAAAGGGUGACUAUCCACAUUCCUAACUAAUAUACAUUUAGUUUUGAGGGAAAACAUGUGAUUAGACCAUUGUGUAUGAUCUUAGCUUUAUGGGCUAGUUCAUUGCUUAGAAAAAGGUUGUUAAGGGUUUUAUGCUUAUGUAGUGCGUGAUAAAAAAAAUAAAAAAUAAAAAAAUAAAAAUUACAAUAUAUUAUUGCCAAGUUGAUAAAGGUUUAAUGAUGCAAUCUUAGUAUUCAAGAGGUCACUUAGGAAUUAGAAAAUGAGAUAAGAGAAAAGCAUCCUCAUUAUUUGAAGAUUUAUGUACAUCAAGUUUAGAUGACUAAACUUUUGUUAAGGAGGGGAGGAUGUAACACCCCAAAAUAAACUUUAGGGGAAAAAUAAUGAAUUAUAAAUUAAUUAAUCAAUCAAUUAAACACAUUAAAGGUAAAAGAGUCCUUUUACAAUUAAUAAUCCUUGGUAUAAAUUAGAUUUUCCUCUUGUCUUCUUUAUUCAGAAAACUCUAUUAACCAAAAAUCAGUGAAUUGGAGAACGUAGGGCUUAAGGUUUGAAGGUCUAGAGUUUGAAGCUCAAAUUUUUUCAGAUAAGAUUAUAACCUUAAAUUAAUAUAUUAUAUUCGUUAGUUAUUUUUUAGCAUAUUAGAUAUUCUUUAGAAAAUUUUAAUUUAAAUUAGGGUUAGUUUAGUUAAUUUAUUUUAAGAUAUAAAAAAAUUGAAAUUAUGAAUAUAGGUUGUUUCAUUGAUGAAAAUAGGGAAAUUCGAAUAUUUUUUUUUAGAUGAAUAGAUCUAAGCAAUGAAAUUUUAAAAAUUAAAUGAGUAAAUAAAUAUAUGAUUAUAAGUGGCUUAAGGGAUUGGAAAAUAAUAAGAAGAAGAAUUGCAUGUUUUUGGAUUUUGGAUUUGAGGCACUAUGUUGGGGCGACAAAAAUAAUAAUAAUAUGUAACCAUGAAAGGCAAAGGGUGGUAGUGGAAUAAAUUAAAAUAAUAAUAAUAAUAAUGAGUAGAGUUGGUGGGGUUGUUGGAGUUGUUAGAAGUAUAUGAGGUAUUUUGUUAAAUAAGAGGGGACAUUGGGAUUAAUAAAAAUAAUGAUAAUAAUGAUAUUAAUAAUAAUAAUAAUAAUAAUAAUAAUAAUAAUAAUAAUAAUAAUAAUGAUAAUAAUAAUAGUAAGAAUUGUGUGAUUUGGAUGUUUGUGAGUGACAUAUAGUAGGGUUGUUUGGAUGUUGCCGGGUAUCGAAAAAUAUAGUAAUAAUAAUAGUAAUUGGUUUUAAUAAAAGUUUUAAUUUAGUUUAAGUAUACAAAAGAAAUAAAGGGUUAGAAUAAGAUUUGGAAGAAAUAUGAGUUUAUAAAAAAUUUGGAAAUUCAUCAAAUUAUAUUAGUAUUGUUUAAGAAGUUGAAAAUAAUAUUGGGUAAUAAUAAUAUUAGCAUGAGAAAUUAUUUAGGAUCCUUAAUACUAAAUAAAAUAUUUUUAAGAUUGUCAAAUUUUUACCUUUAGAUAAUUGUGUAGGAUAUUAUGUUAGGUGAUGAGUAAAUUCGUUAAGCUAAAUAAUUCAAGUUUUUGAGCGUUUUUUCAAGGUAAGGGAAAUUAAUGCAGAUUUUUAUAAAAGAAAAUAAUUUUCUUUUUAUAUUGUAUUUUGAAAUGUAUAAAAAUAUUAUUUUUAUCUUUAUGCAUGAAUCAAAUAUGUGAUUUAUAUGAAAGGUAUAUUUGAGAAUUUUAUUUGUUUAUGAAAAAUGAAAAAUUGAGGAGAUAUGAUAUUUUGUUUUGUAAGUUUGAAUUAAUGAAAUAAAGUGUUUGACUUUGAAUUAUAUGACCUUAAUCAACAGGUUAUAAUUGUUGACAUUUUCGACCCUACUAAAUGGGUUAUAAUAGUUGACUUUAAGGUCAUAGUCAACGGAUUAUAAUAGUUGACCUUAUGGCCCUAGUCAACGGGUUAUAAUUGUCGACUUUUGGAUUUAUUCACCUUAAAUGGAACAAAUUUGAAACUAGUCCCUCAUUUGUGAAAUCCCACUUAAUUAGGCACCAUUUGUUAUUUGAUAAUCAGAGUAAAAAUAUUUUGAAUAUAUUUGAUUUGGUUUUUAUGAGAAAUUGUUUUGAAAUGAAUAUGAGAAAGUUUUGUUGAAAAGUUUGAAUGUAUUAGUAUUUUGAACUCAAAAGUUUUUAUGAAAAUAAGUAUAUGUUAUACCUCCUAUUUACAAGCAUGAUUAAAAAUGUUUUAUCAAUAAAACUGUAUUAAUGUUCCUUAUUAGGCUUUGAACCCAUCCCCCUUUGUUGAUAAUCUUUCAUGUAACCUCAUUUUGGGUGAAGAGUGAUCGUUAGGAAGGAAAUUUGGUUUUAUUAGGAUAUUUGUUUAAACUCUCUUUAUCUUAGACAUUGUUGAAAUGUUAAAACUUAAUUAUCGUUUGAAUUAUUUUGAGUUUGGAGUUAUUUGGACAAUAACACUUUGGUUGAUAUAUUAAUUAUUUUUUAAAAGUUGAUAUUUGAAGAUUUUAGAAUUUGAUCUUACUACUCUGAACAGGAAUUUGGUAAUUGGUAAAUUUUCGAUUACAAUAUGGAUGUUUGUAUUGUUUCCACUUUGAGCUUUUGGGUUUGAGGUGUGAAAUGAUUGUCAUGCCCUUAGAGUGGGUUUUGGGCGUGACAAAAAUAAUUCAUAUCUCAAAUGGAAAACACUCAACAAUUUUCCCAAAUUUCUUUCUUUUUAGCCAAAUAAAAUAAAAUUGGAUCCACAACAAUGGUUUUAGGCAAUGAAGAUUCAGCAACAUCAAAAUGUGGAAAAAUAAUAGAUCUAAUCCACUUGCAUGCUAAUAAAUAAAUAAUCCAACACCAUCCAAAUUUAUAUUAUAAUUCAAAAAAAAUUACCUUUAAAAGUUCCCAUUGAUAAUAACGAGUAGCUCGAUCAUACUGACACAAAGAAGAUACCUCUAAUUGUUGGUGUAUUUUUUUGCUUGUGAAAUCAAGCAUUGACAUAAAAGCAAAAAAAAAAGGAAUGAAUCAUUUUACCAUAUCCCAACACAAAUAAAUAAAUAAAUAUACUUGAUAGAUUUAUAAUAUAACACCAAAAAAUACAAAAUGAAAAUCCAAUCCAAAAAUAAAAUAAAAUAAAUCAAGAGAUAGAAAUUGAAAAGGGUUUGAAAGUUAGAACAGGUAUUGGAAUUGGGUUUGGGUGCUCAAGUGGGCUAACCCGACUUGACCCAAAAACUGUCACUAUUGUAAAAAAAAAAAAAAAAUUCUCUCUAUGGAAACCCUCUCUUUCUGAGUACUCUCCCUCAAAAAACUUUUUUUUUCUCUCUCCGAAAACCAAAAAGUGAAAAAUAUAUUUCUUCUUUCCCUAAAAACAAAAGAAAGAAUAUAUUUUUCUUUCUAAAAGAAAAUCAUUUCUCGAAGUUUUUUCUAUUUUUCUUCCUAAAAACGAAAAUCAAGGUUCUUGUACCGUACGAAAAGAAUAAUCUUUAUAUUUAUAAUUUCAUUCAUGACUUGAAGCAAAAAAAUUGAUCAGUAAAAUAACCAAUCAGAAUUCUUAAGCAUUUCAAUAGGUAAUCAAAUGCAUUAUUUUUCAUGAAGGAAAAAUUUUGAAAAACAAAUAAUGAAUAGAAUCCAUAAAGAUAAAGGAAGAAUCCAAAAAUAAAGAAAAUUAUAUAUAUAAUUGCAGUCGUAAUUGGUACAUGAUAAAUGGGUGACGAUUUUCAAAAGUGAAAUAAUUGUAAAUGAAUCCAAAUUUACUUAAAAACCAAGUCAUGAGGUGGAAGGAAAUCAUGUUUAUGAGAGUUGUCGCCGUGAUUGGACUAGGCGUCUAGCAUAUAAAGUCGAGAGAUGCAAGUGGGAACUCCUAAAUACGAAUAUGGUAUUAAUGUUUAGGCGCGGGUGGCUUGAUGGUUUUGAAAACCGGUUUUUGCGAGAAAAAUAUUUUGACAAACACGUCACACUUUUGAAAUUAGUAGGCAGACGUUUGAGCUUUUACACGACGAUAACACGAACCGUCGAAUAGGAAAUGACGCGCGUAAGUGGAAAGGUGGGAAUUAAAAAGUUGUUGGGGUUUGAUCUCAAGGCAUAUAUCUAAUUUUUAAAAAGGAAAAAGUGGGACAUGGCGGCUCCGAGUCUCCGACUGUCGUCAAAAGCGUGUGGGCCUCUCUCCAUUGUCAUUUCCGGGCAACUCCAAUCCAGCGGAAUAUGAUUCCAUUCCCGUCAACCAAAAGUCUAGCUCAAUUAUCUGUUCAGUGAUCCGAAAUGGCCAAUAAACCACUCACUCUCUUGCCCACGGGUUAUAAAUCAAGCUGCAGCGUCACAGCUUCAAAUCACACACAGAGAGAGAAAAUUUGCACAGAGAAUAUGGGAGAAACACUUGGAGAUCGUAUUGGGUUGAGCGACGAAGUCAUUAAUGCAGCGGCUUCUCUAGCCAUGAAAGCCCACGAUUGCACUGGUAAGCCAUUUCUUCGCAAGAAAGGCUUACCCGUUACUGUUUUUGCAUUUGCUGGAUCUUGGCUUCCCGAUGAUUGGUGUGCGCAGCCACCUUUUGGAGAAACGAAGAUGGAUACUAGUAACUUUCCUUCGCUUAAAAGUUUAGGCGAUGACGGAGUCGCUCUGGUCAACGGGUCGUUUCUCCGGCGAUUCAAUGCCAUCCAAUCAUCACUUGCCAAAAAGGUACUUCAAUUCAACUUAUGCAUAGAUAUAUGAAAAACAAUCUCGUGAAUUCAAAAUGUGGAUGUUGGGGUUGGAUUUUUCAGGUGAAAAAAGUAAUUGGAGAGAAGAAGCAAGUUGUUUUCACCGGCUACUCGUCGGGUGCUCCGGUGGCCAUCCUGGCAACUCUAUACCUCUUGGAGAAGUCAGAGCCCAAUCAGAGCCCACCCCGCUGCGUCACUUUCGGAUCCCCCCUCGUCGGUGAUCGGAUCUUCUGUCAUGCUGUCAGGCGGGAGAAAUGGUCCGACCACUUCAUUCAUUUUGUUAUGAGAUACGAUGUGAUCCCUCGGAUUAUGCUUGGCCCUUCAUCCACUGAGCACAAACAAAUUCUCGAUUUAUUCAAUCCCGGAUCCGAAUCCUUCAGAAAACACACUGAUUCUUCUUUAGGUUUAUAUUCCAGCGUGAUGAGGAAUGCAUCCAUGGUUGCAAACUAUGAUGCCUGCAAUUUCAUGGGAUGCAAAAUCCCGGCGUUGGAAACUCUAAGGAACUUCAUUGAGCUCAGCCCUUACAGACCUUUCGGAACUUACAUCUUCUUCAGUGGAAGUGGAAAACCGGUUGUCGUAAGGAACCCGAAUGCAGUACUGCAGAUGCUGUUUUACUAUGCUCAGUGGAGCCAAGAAGAAGAUGCAGAGGCUGCAAAAAAGGGCCUAAAUGAACACUUGGCCUACCAAUUAAAGAAACUACAGAGCUUAGGAAAGCAGAAUGUAGUCUAUCUAGAUCAUCUGGAAGAGCUUCCGGUGUCUUCUGAUGGCAGUCCAGCCACAGUCAACACGACCUUGAAUGACCUCGGCCUGGUGAGCCUUCUUUCUUUCUUCUUACUGCCAAACUACAGAAUUUUAGCUUCCACAUAUGUAUGUAAAUCUCAGCUGAUGUUCUAGUGUUUUGGAUUGCAGAGCACACAAGCCAUGCUAUGCCUUCAAGCUACAGGAGAGUUGGAGAAGCGAAAGUCAAGAAACCAGGAUAAGAUCAUUAAUGAUUAUAAGCAAAAGAUUGAAGGUGAAUUAAGAAAGCUGAGUAAGUACAAGGAAAAGGCCGAGACUUGCGGACUGGGCUACUAUGAUUCCUUCAAGCUCCAAGAAAAAGAAGAUGACUUCCAGGCUAAUGUGAGCAGGCUUGUGCUAGCUGGUUACUGGGACGAGAUGAUGGAAAUGUUAAAAGCGUAUGAACUUCCGGAUGAAUUUGAGAAGAGCCAUGACUUUAUACGACUUGGAACCGAUUAUCGCCGCACGGUUGAGCCUCUAGAUAUUGCCAACUUCUAUCGACACGCCAAGGAUGAAGAGACAGGGUUCUACGUGAACAAGGGGACUCGACCAAAACGAUAUCGAUACAUCCAAAAUUGGCUCGAGCAUGCUGAAAAGAAGCCAUCUGGAUCCCGGUCAGAAUCCUGUUUCUGGGCUGAGGUAGAGGACCUCCGCAUUAAAACUAGAAGCAACGGAUCCUCUCCAGAAAUUAAGCAGAAGGUUCAGCAACUGGGGCAAAAUCUUAUUAAAUGGAUUGAUGAUGAAUCUUUAGGCAAGGAUGUGUUGUUGGAGAAUUCCACCUUUGUUAAAUGGUGGAAACCCCUUCCUCCUGAGUAUAAAUCAGAACCCGAAUCAUCUCGCAUUAUGAAACUCAUCCAUUAGAAAGAUUGAGAGGGUUUCAUGCUGUUAUCUCGAGGCAUUUGUUCAAAGCCAAUAAACCCUGUAAAUA